rnacentral:lncRNA from 1 species
UUUUUUUUUGGGGUGAGUGGGUAGGGGAGAGAAGGAUGUUUACGUUUGAAAUUAGCUGCUUAGCAGAGCAUCUUCAUGAUAUUUCUCCAAAUCAGCAUCAAGAGCUUCAGCUGAGACUUUUUCAGCAAGAUUUUUCUUUCCUCGACCUUCCUGUCCACGUCUCCCUGCUUGCUUAAACCCAUCCCUGCUGUUAAUGACCAACAGAACAACGCAAUAUAUAAUUAGGGCAAUGAAACAAUGCAAAAGACACCAUCUUACUGAUUGUAGGCUUUCUUGAAAUGCUUAUUUAUUACAGAAAAUAGUUUUUCCUAUAUACUAUUGCGUAGUACCAUAAAAGAGAAGAGGACUCGAGGACCUCAAUAAACUUCAUCUCAACAACUAAAUCAUGUCGUACCAGGACAAACAUGUCAAAUCCAUAGUUACGGCACUUAACAAGAGUCAGAUAAUGGACAUUCUAAAACAAAAAUAAAACUGAUUGGAAACACACACCACGCAAACCUAAAAUAAAUUAAACCAAAAAGAAAAGGGGAAAUAAGAGGUCCCUUGAGACCAGUAGAAAUAAACAAAUGAUUAAACGGAAUAGAAAACAAAAAUCAUGCCUCUGAGAGAGACAGAUAAGAGAUGUCAGCUCAUUGGGUAACAACAAAAUUGCUGAUAUUAAAGAAAAUAAUCCCUUACCACAUGCAGUUAAGCAAAUUGGUACAAAGGUGGUACAGCAGAACAAAUAGACUGCCAGAUUCCGAAGCAAAAUAACAAGACAUGCUCAUGAAGACAAGCUAUACAAAAGACAUGAAGACAUGUUACAUACCUUCCGAAGGCCCCACUUUGAUAUCCCAAACCGCCUUCACUUGAUGGAGGCACAGCAGAUGGAACAAAAUCAACUCCUAUAAUCUCAAUUUUGAUUGGCCUCCCAUCAAGCAGCAAAUCAUUGUAUCUAUUGAUAGCUUUUAAAGCAUCUGAAUGUCGUGCAAAUACCACUUCUGCAGUACCCUAAGUCAAAAAAUGUUGUCUAAGCUCGUGGCCAGAAAACAUCUUCACAAUGAAAUAUAAGUAACCAAAUGCAUAUAUGUACCAUGGACUUUCCAGUCCGGUCAUAGUGAAUUGCAUAUCGCUUUAGCUCACCAACAUCUGAAAAUAGUACCUGCAAAAGAUUACGUAUAUGCAACGCUUGAUCCGAGCAUUUUGCUAUGAGAUAAAAUGUAUGUUGUUUGCUUACUAGAUUGAAGAGAAAAGAAUUAAAUAUGCACAUCUGAUUCUAUUCACAAGCAAGAAUUGCUUCUAAAGACACCUAACUACUUCAUUGCCCAUAGUCGGCUUAUCUUUUAUCCAUUCUGCUUUAGCAGUGUAUUUCUGGCAUUAAAAAGCUAUAUGGCAAGACAACCUCAAAAUUUACAUUCUCGAAUAGUUGAUCUCUCAAAGUGAAUCGGAGUUGGCCAAAAGCAGAGAGAGAAGAAUUGCAAGGUAAAACACAAGAACUAUCUAUUCCUCUGAAUCUGCAGUUUCUCAAUUAACGUGUAAACGUAGUUAAUGAUCAAAGGAGUGGCGCAUGUAUUAUAAAGCAAGCAGGCGUGAUACUCAAAAGAACUAGGGAACAACUAGCAAAUGAGCUCCAGAGAAAUAUCUACUGAAGACAAAGAAAAAGGGAAAGAAAAAGAAACUGAGCUCCGGAUUCCAUUUAGGCAACUGAAAAUACCCACACGAAAACUGAUGUAUUUCCUUAUAUUCACCUUGCGUUCCGUGCAAAGAAUACGCAACGAAUCUAAUAACAAAGCCCAUCAGAGUAGAUUAUGUAUCAUACAUGCUUCAAAGCUUCAUGGAUUCAUCAUUCACUCUCGUUAAAUUGUUAAAAAAUUGGAAGUCCAACCCUCCAAAUACUUAUUUCAACUUGCCAGAAACAGGGCCCAGAUUUUCAUAUUCAAGAAUAAAGAUGACUAAAACUUCUGAACUAAUUCCAAUCUUCGCAGAAGUCCUGAUGCCCAGAAGCCCAGGAAGGGUGGAUCAAGAACCAAUAAACCAAAUUUCAACCACAUAAAAUCAGCCAGGAUCAACAAAGUACCAAGCUAACAAGCCCUUUUUCUUUUCUUUCUCUCUUUGCCUUGUUUGAAUGAACAUUUCUGUGCUGAAAUGCUCCAUGAAGUAAAAAAUCAAAAACAGGCCAACAAUGACAAGCACUGGAAUAAGAGGAACCAAAAAAUGCACCUUGAUAUCGUCAUUAGUAACCCCAUAAUAGAGGUUGGACACGUAGAGUUUUGUCCCACUGCUAGCCCCUUCUUCUUCAAGCAUCCAAAGCCCCUGCAUUCAUUUUUAAGUGCUAAAUAAAACCUUAAAACCCCACCAUUUUUUGUACAGAUCCCUUCAUUACGGGAAAACAUGCAAAAACUAGUAAAAAAGAAAAGGAGGAGGGGGUGACCGGAGAUCUUGAAGUCACAGCCACACGUGGUCGAAGGUACGGAACCGUACGGUACGGAACGAAGACCGGUGUCCGGCGGGUUGGGCCGGGACCAGAACUCAUACAGUGAGCUUGGCCAAGGCCACGGCCACGUCCUCCUCCGCGGCCUCUGAAAUUACCAUGAUCUCCUCCAGAUUUCCUGUUUCUGUUGAUAAGAUCGUCUAGGGACAUGUCCAGAAGAUCGGCCAUUUUUGAGUAUCAAUCAAGAAAACAAAAGCAUUGAGGUUUUUUAGUUCUUCUUUUUGAGGAGGAUUGGAGAAGAGGUUUUAGGACAGUGUGGCUGUUAUGCGGGGGUUUAUGAGUGACAAAUGAAAAGCGAACAAAAAAAUUCAAAAUUUCACGUGAUUAGUUAGGAGCACGAAUUUUACUAGGUAUUUACCAAAAUAAACCAAUAUUUAUUAGAAGUUCUGAAGUUAGCCCAAACCUUUUGAAUUCUCUCUAAAAUUAGAGAUUUCGUUAUUUGAAAUAGCCGCUUAAAAGUCACUAUUUGAAGUUUCAAAAGAAUGACCUUACAUGUUUAAAACAAGAAAAUUAAAGAUAAAAAUAGUUCAAAACAAAGAAUUUUAAAUCGUCAUCUCAAAUGAACAUUUCAUCGCUAUUUAAAAAAAAAAAAAACGAAAUCUCUACUUCAGAAAGAAUUCAAGAAUUUGAACCAUUUUAAAAAUUUUCAAUAAAUGUUGGAUUAUUUAGGCAAAUAACCCCGAAUUUUUCAAUCACUUAUCCAAUUGUUGGUAUCUUAAAUUACCAAUUUGCCCUUUUUGGAUUUAGUGCAUUAAAGGAGAUCUUUCAGGGUUGAGUUUGGUAGAAAAGGUGAAACUGAUGGGCGUCUUUGAAAUUGAAAAUGUACCGUACUGCAGUAGCUUCACGGGACUUAAUUUUUGAAUUUGUUUUCGGUUUUCACUUUUCACAGAGACGCAGGCCCGAUAUAAACUUGCUUCGCAAGAAAGUUGCCAGUUGCCACUUACAGAAAUCCGAAUGUAACCUUUCCUUUUUUAGUGCAUCUUUUCUUUUUUGUUUAGAGCUCCGUUUCUUUUAGUCGCUCCUUUUUCAUGCUUGCAUUUAUUUGACGUGUUAACUGAUAUUCGUACCCGUGACAGUUCGAUGUUUAAGAUCUGUUAGACUAUUUAUUGAUGAUAGGAUGCAAUUAUGACAAGCAAUAUAUAUACAUAUUUGAACGUAUAUAUCACUUUAUUAAUUUGAGGAAAUCCAUCAUGUUGGCCGACCAAUUUGGUGAGUGUGAAAAUUUUGUUGUCACAAAUUUGCUAUAAACUCCGAGGCUUACUCGUAUUACGCUGCGCAAUCUCACAAUUUGUACUCAUACACGAUUUAUUUAGUCUAAACUUUCGAAAAAAAAGGGUAAGUCACAAUUUGGAUUUUUGGGCCUGUUUGGAAUCUGAGUUUUUUGAGAAUUUAUCUAAAACUUUACUGCAGUGCACUGUAGAAGUUUUUGAAAAAAUUUUGUAGCUGUAGAAGUUUUUGAAAAAAUUUUGUAGAAGUUUUUGUAAGGUGAAAAAUUUUGUAAAAGUUUUUGUAAGGUAAAAAACUUUUUUUUUUCCCUUUUCUCUUUUUUUCUUUCUUUUUCUUUCUUUUUUUUUUCUUUUUCUUUCUUUCCUUUUUCUUUUCUUUCCUCUCUUCUUCUUCUUCUUCUUCUUCCUUCCCCCUCCCUCUUCCCCAUUACCUCCCGCCAACCCCAAUAGCAACUCCACCAAUGCCACUUCCCGCCACUUCCCUCCUCCCUUUCUCCUUCUCCUCUUCUCUGUCCUGCCACCCUCCUCUGCGCCUUCGCCCUCUGCCCCGCCACCCCCUCCCCUACCCCUGCAAAAGCUCCCUCGCUACCCCUCUGCUCGCAACCCCCCUCCCCCACCCCUGCAAAAACUCCCCCGCCACCCUAUUUGCCCGCCCCCUGCAAAAGUUUCUCCGCCACCACUCCCUCUCCCUCUCCCUUUGUCGCCACCUGAGUUUUGCGCAUGAGUUUUGCAACAACAGAAAUGAUUUUUUUUUCCAAUGUUCCAUCUCCCUCUCCUCUCCUUAUCUUGCCGACAGAAUAAGCAGCAUCAGUCGAGUGUAUAUAUACAUAUAUUUUUGCAAUUUUCCUUCUCCCCAAACUGCGGGAGGGAGAAGGUGGCGGGGAAAGACAGAGGGAAAGAGGGGAGGGGGGAGGGAGAAAGAAAAAAAAAUAGAAAAAAGAGAUUUUGGAAACCAACAUAUCGAUCAAAGGGGGAGGGGAGGGAGAGAAAAAAAAAAGGAGGAAGGCUGGCAAAAGUUGGCCGGAAUAGUUAUCGGCGUGGGAAGCGAUGGUGGAGGUGGUGGCUGGUUGGGUGGGGGAGGAAAAAGAAAAAAAGUUGAAAGGAAAGUUUUUUGUGUAUUAUUUUGAAGUAUGUAAGUAAAAAACUUUGAUAAAUUUUUUGGGUUCCCGUAGCAAAAGUUGUUAAAAUACUAGUAGUUAAAAAACUUGGCCAAAAAUUUCACUUCCAAACAAGCCCUUUAUGGCAAAAGAAAUGAAAUCCAUCGAAUAGUCAUUAUUUGAAAUUUUUUCAACAGGGAGAAUUGAAUCCAAAAUUUAUAUUCCUCAGGGUCUUUCGUGGAAAAAAGGGUAAGCCGCCAUUUGGAUUUUUAUAGCCAAAGAAAUGAAUUCCACUAGAUGAUCAUUAUUUGAAAUUUGGGAUAAUUUCAUAUACCUCCCCCUCAUGAGGUUUCUGACAGUUUCACUCUCUUCCCUUGUGGUUUCAAAAAUAUCACAAACCUCUCAUGUUAGAAUUUAGGUCCCAUUUCUUACAUCAUCAUGGUCAAAAAGACUUAAAUACCCUCACAAGUCAGCUAAUAUUUCAUGAUUAUCAAGACAAAUACAUUCAAACUCACGUAAUUAUUUUUUUCUACGCUAUAUCUAAUCUCCCUUUUACAUGUAUACAUAGUCAAAUAACUAACACCUAACAUGAUAUACAUUUUUUUAAGGGAUAAUUGCAGAAACCUCCCUUUAAAUUUUUGACAUUUGCACUGACCUCCCAUGUGGUUUGAAAAAUUACACUAACCUCCCCUGAGGUUACUAAUCCUUUGCAAAUUUAGUCUAAACGAUUAAAAUAUUAUUUUAGGGAGUGAAAUUAGAAUUUUGUACCAGAUUUGCCCUUUGUGCUACAUGUCCAAUGAAUGAUAAAUUACUAUAAAUCAAUUAACAAUUAAUAAAGUUUAAAGAGUAUAAUUUAUGGGCAAACACACAUUACUCAUUUAAAAUACAGGCUCUCUACGGGUAUUUUAUUUUCAAACAUUUAAUUUGUGAUAAAUAUAUCAAUAUUUGUAAGUAAAAUUCAAAAAGUGUUACGGUAAUAUUCUUGCAAAAAGGAAAUCAGUAGGUUAUUUAUUUAAUAUAAAUUAAAUAUUUUUAAAAAAAAUGACCCAUAAAGUAUUAAUUUUUUAUGAUUUUCAUCAAUUACAUGAGUAAAGUAUUCGUUCUUUAUGUAAAUUUUAUUCAUUUAAUUUAUAUUAAAUAUAUAAAUAUUUGUAACUAAAAUUGAAAAAGUGUUAUAUUAAUAUUUUUACGGAAAAGAAAUUGGUAGGUUUUGUAUUUAACAAAAAUUAAAUAUUUGAAAGUAAAUACAAAUCUGUAUUUGAACGUAAAUAUUUGUAUUAAAUUAAAUAUUUGAAAGUGAAAUACCCGUAAAGAACCGGUACUUUAAAUAGUUACCGGCUCUUUAUGGGUAAACACGCAUUACUCAUUUAAAGUACCGAUUUUUUACGAGUAUUUUACUUUCAAACAUUUAAUUUAUGAUAAAUAUAUCAAUAUUUGUAAGUAAAAUUCAAAAAGUGUUACAGUAAUAUUCUUGCAAAAAGGAAAUCAGUAGGUUAUUUAUUUAAUAUAAAUUAAAUAUUUUUUUUAAAAGAAAUGACCCAUAAAGUAUUAAUUUUUUAUGGCUUUUAUCUAUUACAUGAGUAAAGUAUUGACUCUUUAUGGGUGUUUUAUUUUGAAUCAUUUAAUUUAUGUUAAAUACAUAAAUGUUUGUAACUAAAAUUGAAAAAGUGUUAUAUUAAUAUUUUUACGGAAGAGAGAUUGGUAGUUUUUGUAUUUAACAAAAAUUAAAUAUUUGAAAGUAAAUAUAAAUCUGUAUUUGAGCGUAAAUAUUUGUAUUAAAUUAAAUGUUUGAAAGUAAAUGUAUUUGCCUAUAAACUAUACUCUUUAAAGUUUAUUAAUUGUUAAUUGAUUUGUAGUACUUUGUCAUUCAUUUGACAUGUAGUACAAAGGACAAAUUUGGCAAAAAAUUCUAAUUUCACUCCUUAAAACAAUAUUUUAAUAGUUUGGACUGAAUUUGUAAAGGAUUAGUAACCUCAGGGGAGGUCAGUGUAAUUUUUCAAACCACAUGAGAGGUCAGUGCCAAUGUCAGAAACCUCAGGGGAGGUUUCUGCAAUUAUCCCUUUUUUUAACACCUAACCAUGUCAAAUUUAUGCGUACCAUUACACUAUAUUUUAUAGAUAUACACAGUCAAAUAACUAAUAUAUAAUAUAAUGUAUAUAUUUAUAAAAUGAUUAUACCUCAUAGAUCACCCCGUGUAAAGUGUUUAUAGGCAAAUUAGUAUUAGUCAUAUAGAUAAACUUACAUACCCACUGCAGCUUGUAAGGAGAUGCACAAGUGGGUCAAAGCACCAAUAAUCAUUCCAAAUGUAUACAUACCAUUGCACUAUGCAUAUUGAUGCGAUGACUAAUUGCAAUAUGCAUGUGAACAAAUAACUGCAUGUUCAACAAUUUCUAUGCAUUCUACUUGGUCGAUAACACGGUGUACGUUAUUUCAACCAGAUUGUACAUUCACUGCGUAUUUAUAUACAUGCUACUUAUUGAAGCAAACUAAUAAACUACAUCUCUACUAAAUAUUUAAUGUACUCUCAUAAGCACUAAUUGUCGAUUUAAUAUGCAAUUGGAACAAAUAACCAUCUAGUAAAAGCUUUUGAUAUAAUAUUAUUGAUGAAUAACAUAUUGGGUUUGUUUGGAUAGUGGGUUAUUUCCCCAAAUAUAUUUGCUUACAUCACAAUUACAAUUUCCAAUACAACUUUUUAUCUUCCCAAUUACCUUUUUAUUUCACAUAUAUCACAUCACAAAAAGUGUUACAGUAAAAAUAUGUCAAAUAAUUUACAAUCAAAACAAACCCAUUGUAUAUGAAAUUAUCCCUUUUUCUAAUUUAUUUUUUAUUUUUAUUAAUUUUCAUUAUUUCACUAAUAUACCUUGUACAGUUACCUCAGGAGCGUUUAGGGAAACAAAAUUCCUUCUCUUUCCUGAAAACACUUUUUUAUAUUCACUUUUGACAUCAUGGACUGAUUUUGUUACAAAAUCCUAAAUCUCGGGGGGAGGUUUGUGAUAUUUUUGAAACCACGGGGGGAGGAUGGUGGGACUGUCAGAAACCUCAGGAGAGAAACCCUCAGGAGAGGUUUCUGAAAUUAUCCCUUGGAAUAUUCGUUUGAGAAGGGGGAAUUGAGUCCAAAAUAUAAUUCUUAAGGUUUCAACUUUAACUAGUAUACAAAUGUCAGUUUAGUUGCAAAUGAUUAUUUUACUUAUAUCAUAAAUAUAUUUUCUAAUCAUCAUUUUAUUUCAUAUAUAUUAUAUUAUAAAAGUACUAUAGUAUUGUUGUGAAUAAUUUUUUCGAAUAAACUUCUAUUUUCGACAAUCUUAUGUAUGUAAAAACUAAAUAGGUAAACUAUACUCGUGAAAUUCCAGAGACUGACACAAAAUAGUAGAUAUCAAAGGUUAAGAGAAGAUAUGUUUAAACGAACACUCAUGAACAAUUAUCCCAACCUGCAAUUAAUUGGCACUAAUCCAUUGCUUUAGCAGUUAAUACUGGUAAUUAAAUGAAACGGCAUAAUAGAAACUUGAGACACUACUAAGGGGCGUUUGGUAAAAGGGUAUCGGAAUGAAAGAAUGAAAUAAACUCCAUAAUUGACGUUUGGUUCACUGGUAUGGAAAUUGAAAUUUUGGAAUGAUUUCUAAAAAUUUGGUAUCCCUCUAUUCCUUAGUAAAAGGGUGGGUUUUGUCCAAAACCCAAGUGUGAUUCCAAAAUCUUAUAAUUACAUAAUAUUUAGCAUAAUUAAUAUAUAUAUAUAUAUUUAUAUUUAUAUUGUAUUAUAUUAUAUUAUAAUAUAUACAUAUAUAAUAUAUUAUAAUUAUAAAAUUUUAUUAUAAUUAUUAUUUUAUCAUAAUAUUAGUAUAUUAUAUAAAUAUAUAUUAUAAUUAUUUAGUUAAAUAUAAUUAUAUUUAUAUAAUAUAUAUUAUAAAUUUCUUAAUAUUAUACAAUAAUAUAUUUAUAAUAUAUAUGUAUAUUUAUAAAUGUAUAUUAUAUGUGCAUAUAAUUAUAAUAAAUACAUGUAUAUAAUAUUAAUAAAUUAUAUAAUUAUAAUUAUAUUUAUUAUUUUAAAUAUAAUAACUAUAUUUAAUAUGUAAUAUAUAUUAUAUUUAUAUAAAAUAUUUAUAUAAUUAAUUUUUGUAUAUAUUAUAUAAUUAUAAUUAUAUAUUUAUAUUAUAACAUUUGCAUAUUUAUAUUUAAUUAUAUAUAAUAUUUAAUUUAAUUAGUUACAAACUUAUAAUAAUAAUUAUUAGUUAUAUGUAUUAUAUACUGUAUAUUAAUUUAUGUAAUAUAAUUAAUAUUAUCAAUUAUACUAAUAAUUAUACAUAUUUACUAAUAGAAAUUAUUAAUCAGUUAGACUAAAUUUACUAACAUAUUUAAUUAGUAAAAAUUUCUUAUAUUCCAUUUACAAAGAAGCAAUAACUAUCAUUUACGAUGUGAUUUAUAAUAAUUUAUUAUAUUCUAUUCCAAAAGAGUCGACGAACCAAACAUUAACUAUAAUAAUGAUACACAUUUCAGGUACUUGAACCAAAUAAAUAUAUUGAAAUGAAUAAUCUAAUUCCAAAUCCAAAAUAUCCGAUUUCGAUUCCAAUUCCGAUGUGCGAAUCAAACGCCACCUAAUACAACCUCACGGUGUGCUGAGGAUUGGGCUGCCUUGGAUCUAGGGAAAUGUUUCCCUUUUGGCGCGGAAAGCGUAUUUGGACCGAUUUUUAUUUUUUUAAAAUACAUUAGCAUUUUUUUUGGGUGACAUAAUGCACCUGAAAUAAAAAGUCAAUUAAAAAGAUAAAAAAUAAAAAAAUCAACUAAUUAAGACGCAAGCAAAAUUCUCUUUUGUCUAAAAGACAAAAAAAAAAAAAAAAAAAAAAAGAAGUUCUCCCGCAAUCACGUAUUCAAGCAAGAUGAAGAAGGAAGGCAAAGGCGGCCACCUGCGACCUCCGUAAAUGCCGACAAAAAAGAGGCCACCGCAGCCCAAAAUUAGUUACUACGUCAUAAUUCACAGUAAGAACGCCCAGAAGAAGCCACCAUCCUUCCUCCAUAACACUUUUAUUCUUUUUUGCAUAAAUUUGCAUUUCGUGAGGGGGUUUCCAAUUUCACAGUUUUUAACCGCCAAAGCCGAUGUAGAAAGAGAGAGAUAGAACAAGACCCCCCCCCCCAUCCCCCCAAAAAAAAAAGUGAGUUGGAGAGAGAAAUGGAGGAAAGCUAUGAAGUAAUGAAGAAUAACAGCGACGACGACGACGACGACCACAAUUCUACCCAAAAAGCCGGCCAGAGAGUUGCUGUAGCUAGGGGGGAAAAGCUCGCUCCGGCUACUAAUUCCAAGGCUAAGGCUGCAGCUAAUGACUCCUCUAAAAGCAGAGAAGAAGGCGAACUCUCUUCCUCUGAUGAUGACGACGAUGUAUUCUCUCUAGCUUCAAACCCUAAUUUUAUGUUUCAGUCUGAGCUAUGAACUUAUCACCUGCAUCGCUGCUGGAAAUUAUGGACCUUUCUUCUUUUCCCUGUAUGAAUCACGAGUAAAUCUUUUGUUAUUUUCUGCUUUAGUUGUAGGACUUUCUGAAACAUUUGUUACUUUUCUUCCAUUAAAAUGGUUGAGUAUGAGAUUUUCUUUUUGGUUGAUUUUGGUAAUUUUACUUUAAAAAAAAAAUUUAUUAGUCUUCGAACGCUAAGAAGAAGCCCUGUUAUUUGAGGGCUACGUUUGUUCUGUUUAGUUUGCAUUUGUGUUGUUCUGUUGCUUUUCUUUUUUUCUGUUUUUUCUUUUAAACGUUAGAGGCGGAGUUGUUGGUGACAUUCAGUUUUUUGAUAUGCAUGCUUGUGGAGAUUUGAUUUUAGGGCUUUCUUAAUACAUGCAGACUUUAAUAAUUGUCGUUCUACAAUAGAAUAGGUUUUUGGUCACGGCACCUUUAUUUAUUUUUGCUUUUAGGAGGUGGAAUUUAGCCAAGUUGUUCUCCUUAGGAAGUGAAUUUGAUCCUACAGGACUUCCAUGCUACUGCAUCUGCAUCUCAUCUUGCUGGAUGUGAUACUGCUCAGACGGAUUGGCCAGAUUCUGCUGAAGCUUCUUCAGUAGAUAAGGUCAUUCAGGAUGCAGAGAGGGGUACGUUUACUACACCUUGAGUUUAAUUGUUUUUAACCUUCUUGGGGUAACUAUAUAUAAUCUGGAUGGACGAUUAGUUACUUGGUAUGCAACUGUUCUCUUUAAAUAAUUGGCGGACAAUGCAUUAAGUCAUUAUAUAAUGGUUGUUCGGAAUCCAUGCUCUAAUCCCCAAUUUCUGGGACCUUUUACCAUGUGUAGAAGUUGAUAAUUGUCUCUCUGUAUAGAAUCAUAAAAACUCCUUUUGGAAAUGCCAUAUGUACAGUAACCAGCUUUUCGAGUCUGAAUUUUGUUUGGUCCAGUACUUUGGGAUUCCACUAUCUACUCCUCGGUGGUGAUAUUUGCAUGUGUAUAUAGACCCAUUAUGUUAUGCACGAUGACUAAAUUUUAUGCGCAUUUGUUGGAGGUUCUUUCUGUGUCUUGGGAAGGGACAAGAAUGUUAUUGUUUAGUGUAGUUUGCUUGCUUGAUUCUCCAACUCCAUUAGUUGCUUUUUGUUCACAGAACAGCAUGAUCCUGCCAUCAAGUCUGCAAGCAUGGUUGGUCUAUCUUCUAGAGCUUCUCAGCAGUCAGACCAUCUCAAGAGUUCUGAGAAGAAUCGAGGACCAUUUGUGCCAUUUGUCAUAAGUUUUUCAGAUGAUGAGAGUGGCAGUGAUUCUGAUGAUAGCAGGCGUAAUACCCUGGCAACUAAAGACCAAACACAGCGAGUAGAUAGAAGUGGCAGACCGCCUGUAUCUUCUCUCCAAAGGUCGCAGAAGUUGCUUCAAAAUAAAACUAAGAAAGCUAGAUUAGUCAACAGAGAAGCCUUUCCUAGUCGCCCAUUUGUCAAUGGAGCAACUUCAUGGAAUUGUAGACAAAUGCCUAGCUCUAGAAGUUUCAGUACUGCACAGAAAGGGGUAGCCAGUGAUCAUGGGUCUUUGCAGAAAUCAAUUGUACAUGUUAAUACUAACAAAAGACAACUGCAAGACCUAAGACAGCUAAUUGCAAUCCGAGAAAGUCAGUUAAAGCUCAAGUCAACCCAGCAAACUAAAAAUUCAGUUGGUGGAUCAGGUAGUGAUGGUAAAUUUAAAAACCCUGGCAAUCCUGGGAACAGGGUUCGUAAAGACUCAGGUUUUGACUUGCGCGGUGAGUUUAACAAAGCUGACAAGAAGCGCCUAAAAACUGGAGAACCACAGUGUAGCCAGCUAGAUUUAGAUAAUAAUCUUCAUUCUCUGCAGCCGAUUUUAACAUCAGGAAAGUCUAGGGUGGAUAAUAGUGGUAAAGAGAGUGUAGAUGAUCAUGAUCAUCGUAGCAAAAAACUUUCGUUGGGUACAUCGCUUUCUGGAGUGCAGAAACAGUCAGAGGCGAGGGACUCUCUUUCAUUAGAAAAUCCUCUUAAUACUGCUAUUGCGGGUAAGUGCUUAAUUUUCUUUUUCAAUGCUUUGCUUUUGGAGAAGGGGGGGGGGGAGGGAUUGGGCAGCAUACUGCACAGUUUGAGAUGCCUAAUGAAUGGCGUGAUAAUUAUUAUGCAGGUAAUAGAACUGUUGCUAUUAACAUACAGUGUGCCAGGAAUCCUAAACAAGGCGAUCCUGUAAUUUGGUUGAAACAAUCUGGGCAAAUAGGAAAAAGGGCGACUGGUGAUUUUCCAAAUAGAUCAGUAAGACACAGAUAUAUAUCCUAUAUAUGUCUUUUGGUAGCUUUGAUCAUUAUUUUUAGAGAUGUGCAGAGCCUAAAAAUUGGCUUAUUCUAGAUCCAAACAUGCUUAUUUUGAUAUCUUGAAGUUCAAUUUUACCAGUUAGAAUAAUGAAUAAGGUUACUACCUGUAGAAGAGCAAUGAGGCAAAGUUCAACUAAGAGCCAAUUGUUAAUGGCAUGCAAUGGUGUUGCAACAUGGCCAUGUCAUCUACCUAUGUUUUUGCCACGUGACUUGCUCUUUUCCUAUGAAUAUGUCUGGAAUAUAAAAAAUACAUGGAUAUGCACUGAUCUUUGAAGUUUUGCCUUGCCUUUUAAAGCUGAAACAAAUAGCUUAAUGUUGUAUGUGACUUUAAAUUCUUUCAAGUUGUCCUUUGUGAUCUUUUCCUCCAUAUUCAGCUUGGUCUUAGAGUAAUUCUGGGUAUUUAUAAUUUAGUUGGGAGAGAUUUAUUCUCCUAGCUGUUAAUGGAAAAAACUUAGUAGUAGCCGCAUAAAUAUUGGUUUUUUUUUCUUUCUUUCUAUUUUUUCCUCUCUCUUGGUUGUACUUUUUAACUUGCUGAAUUAGGACAUCUACCCCCUACCAUCAGACCAUACUUCUAUAUGAUUGAAUCUUGAUGUUUACGUCUUUCAUUCACCAAACAUGCCAUAAUUACUUUACUAGUUGUUCUUGGCUAGGGUUCUGAGGAAUGUCUUAGCAAUUUCUUUAUAAGGUCUCUUGUGGUGUGGUAUCAGCUAUUUGAUCUCAUAGUGCUGAAUCAAGGAGCUUCAUUUUCUUUCUAGUCUGUGCGACAACUUGUGUAUAUGAAUCUCAAGCAGAUCUCUUGUUUAUUGUUAUAAUCUCAUGAACAUGGUGGUGGAAGAGCUGAUAUCUCUGCCUGUUCCUACCACACCAUCUCCGGUCCUCAAUGGAUCUGCUUGUGUAUUUUAUUGUAAAACAGAGCUUUUCUAUAGCUUCUCGAGCACUGAUGCUUAUUUAAUGAAAUUGCAAUCCUUUUUGUCCCAAUUUUCCUCAUAUUGGUAUAUGGAUGUAAUUAGGAGUCGAUCUUUCGCUUGUUUUGUUGUGGUGUGCUUUCUUCUUUAAUUUUCCUGAUCUGUGUCUUUGUGGGAGCUUAACAGAUGAGGGGAGUUGAAAAACAAAGCAGGAUAUAGUUAAUUUGGUCAUAGCUGUUUCUUAAAUUUGGGAUAGAAUGUGGGUUUUUUUUUUUAAAUUUCCAAUUCCUCCAAAAAUCUGCAGUCCCAUGUCUGCCACAAAGCUAAAAAGCUUCAGUGAAUCUUUUCCUUUAUUCUGUCUAUACUUGAAAGAUUUAUUAUUUUUCUGAAGCUUCUUGUGUUAAACAAUUCUGUUUUGGGUGGGAAGGUGUUUUACGUUCAUAUCAAGGUGUGUGAGUCCAGACUUGUGUUAUAUACAGUUUUACGUAUGCAUUGUCAUUCUCUUUUCUUACUCUUAAGAACAAUGUGGAGUUGGAUCCCGAGGAGUAUGCUCGUCAUGAUGUGCAAGUGUCCAUCCAGAACAAUGUUACAUCUGGCACUAAUUUAACAGAAAGGUGUGAUAGCGAUCAAGCAAAAUCUAGUGACCAAGUGAGCAAAUUAAAAUCAGAUGACAAAGUUCAGGCAUCUAGCCUGUAUCUUGUUGAUGGUAACUUACAGGUUUGUUCUGUACCACAGCUUUUGCUUUAUUUAUUUACUUUUAAAAUCUUGGGCCUCACAUUCUAUUUUGAUUAUCUCUUUCUGUUUCCUUGCAGAAGGCAAGUCUGAGUAAUCCAAGUUUGUUGAAUGGUUUGGACAAGUUAAACAUGAUGGGGAAUAACAUGGAUUUGCAGUCACUGCUGGAGUAUGAGGAGUUGCAAGAUAAGGAAAUAGAGGAUGCACAAGAGCAUCGGCGCCGAUGUGAAAUAGAAGAAAGAAAUGCACUUAUGGCUUAUCGGAAGGCCCAGAGAGCCUUGAUUGAAGCUAAUGCGAGAUGCUCUCAACUCUACAGUAAAAGGGAAUUAUACUCGGCACAGCUUCGAUCUCUCAUGAUGGAGAACCCAAAUUUGGUUGUCUCCCUAAGACAGCAUGAUCAGGUAGAAACCCAAUUGGAUUCUUCUAAUUAUGUUUCUGAUGUUAAUGAGCAUCAAAUACCCGCAUCCAGCCAUCAAGUGCACACUGGAUCUGAUAUUAAUGGCAUACGUGGUUAUGAUAGUAAUGUACCUCCUGCAAACGAUCACUAUCAGAACCUGUCUAAUAUGCAUGUGAGUGGGCAGAACUUGGUAUCUGAUCCUUGCUCCAAGCGUGAGGGAAGUCCUUCAGAGGGUCACAAGCAACCUGUGUCAAAUGGUGUCUGCUCCCCUUCUGGUGAUUUAAGUCAGUCAUCUUAUCAGGAAGGUGAGAUAUUUGAAUUUAACCAUAAAUCUGCUCAAGAAAAUAUAGAAUCUGAAAGAACAUCAGAAUUCAACAAAGAUAGGGAAAAGGACAUCUAUGAGGAGUCUGAAAGACAACCACCAUUUGAUAGUUCUCAGGACUGUUUUCUUCUUGAAGCGUCAUUAAGGUCACAGCUCUUUGAAAAGCUAAAGACAAAAAAAUUGCCAAAAAAGGGGACAACCCAGGGCACGGAAGAUUUAGUUGAAAGAAAUGAUGAAAAUGAUGACAGUAGACAGAUGAUGGAGACUGAUACUGCAGAUGUACCAUUGUCUGAGGCAGAGAAUGGCAAACAUUCAGAUUAUGAAGGUAAUAUUUCUUCUUGAGGAUUUACCUGUUUGUCCUGUGAUCCUUUCUCAAUAGUUCUGGGUAGAGCAUUAAAGAAGUCCAAAGUCAUGAGAAUGGAAAUUUUAUCUUACUGUAAGGAACUCCAGAGUACACCUGCUACUUUGUUCUUUUGCAAAUGUUCUAUUUAUUGCUAUUUGUCAUUCCAUUGUGUAGAUUUAUUUUUUGACUUGACUCUCUAAUUAAAUCUUGGAUAAAUAGUGAAGAAAUCUAUUUGUGCAGUCACCACCUCUCUCUCCAGUAAACGUUGUUUUCGAUGCUGUAUGACAAACUCGCUUUCAUCUGAUUGGAAGCCAAUUAUGUGACUUGCACCGUGCGGAGACUCUCUUCCCCCUCCCCCUCUCCUUUUGAUAUGUCUACCAAGUGGAGACUUCGAUGAUCCAUUUUGUCUCAGAUGUUUGUAAUUGUACAUGUUGACUCUUGCUGUCAUGUAUCCUGGUUUAUGAUCUUUAUUUUUGUAACUUGAUAUUUUCUGUGAUUUUACAAUUUCUCCUUUUGGUACAGAUUAUAGCAAGGAAGAAAGAUGUCCUGAACUACCAGUCCAGAUUAACAACCAGUUUGAUAUUCCGCAUUCAGAGCAUGCAUCUUCCUCCCAAGAUGUUUGUAUGGGUAGUUGUAUUUCUCUGGGAAGUCAAGAAUUUAAAACCUCUGGCACUUUUCUCUUGCCGUCAAUGAAGAGUGCAUUUAGUGCCCUGAAGUUCAUAGAACUUUGCAGUGUGCUAGAGUCCAAUAAUGCAAGUAGAGGUAUGCUCAUAUCCGAUGUUGAUGAGGAGAAUGAGGAUAACUGGGUCACUUGUAAAAGCAAGCCUAGUAUAUCAAACUUGGAUUUGCCUGAAACUUCAAUCGACUUAUUUGUUGGACAAAGUGGGUAUUACUCCUGCAAUCUAGCUAUUGACCCAUUCUGGCCACUUUGUAUGUAUGAACUCCGAGGAAGAUGCAACAACAGUGAGUGUUCUUGGCAGCAUGUUAGAGACUACUGCUGUGACAACAUGAAACAUGAUAGUACUGAUUAUUCUGGUAAUGUUAAGUUCGCUUAAUCUCUAAUAUGAAUCAUGAAAUUCUUUUUUAUACAAUGUCUGUUUUUCUUUUGUAGUUGUUCAGGUCAGAAGACAAUCACCCAGGGAACAAUUUGACGGUGCUAUGGUGCGUAGGAAGUCUCUGAAUCACGUUGAUUUAGCUGCCCCUACUUAUGUUGUCAGCUUAGACAUUCUGAAACCUGAUUCACAAUCAUUUAUACCUACUUCAUCUCAAGGUUAUGGACAAUGCUGGGGGAAGUGUUUCAGUGCUUUCUUGGUUUUGUCUAGUUUGUGUCCGAUGGUUUCACAAUCAAAUGAGCCAUUUUUGCAUGGCACUCAAGCUCGUAUAGAGGUCCACUGUAGCUGGAAUAGACAGACAUCUUAUUUUAACAACAGAAAUGGGACACUGGUUUGUCAAAGAAUCCUUUCCUUCUUUGGGUAGUUUGUUUAUGAGUCCUCAUCCUUGUGGCUUCCAAUUUCAUUUACUUGAUUGUUGAAUUACUGCCGGCCUUUUGGCUUUGAGGUGGAAUGCUUAUUUUCAUGGAGUUGAUCUUUUGGAUAGGAAAGUAUAGGAAUUGGUGAAUGUUCAUGUUUCUGCCUUUCUAGAGUUUAAUCUUUAAUGGAGUCUUUAUAUUGUGUUCCCUCUUUCCUAAACAGAAAAUGUAACUUCGUUAAUGUCGUAAAUCUUGAAAAUGUUCUUCUGAGAUGUCAAUUCCAAUUUGCUUUUCAUUUUGGAACAUCAAAUUUUGUUGUGGUACAGGAUCUAUAAGCAGAUAAAUACUUGAAGUGUUUAUUUUAUUAAAACAAAAUACUGGAAAGACAAGCACUCCUAGGUUCCUUAACUUUCAGUGCAUAUCUGCUUAGAAGACAGCAAUUCCCUAGUGUUUGCUAUUGGCAUUCAUAUCUAUUUCUGUUUUGGAACACAUGAAGUCAUUACCUAUGAUUUGUGCUUGUAGUGUUGCUUAUGCACUCUCUUGGAUUCUCAUGGUAGAUGUUGUUCAUAUCAAUCUAUUUAUACUUAAAGUGGGGUAGCUCAUGCUGGAAUUAUGAGGAUCCGCCUAGCUUUUUUCCUUUGCUCCUUGUAGAACUCUGUCUUCCUUCCCCUUCAACUGAUUCUUGUUUUACUUUGUGCUAGUUUAGCGUGUGUUUCUGCUAGCGUUUUGCAUUUAAUUCAGUGUAGUACACCUUCUAAUAUUGCAAUUUUGGUAGGCUCUCCAGAUGAAUUGUUUUCUCAUUUUCAUGGGUAUAUAGCAAUUAACUUACAUAUUCUUGGGGUUUUCUUAGGGUCAAAUUGAUCAAUGUGUCGUUGAUGCUGACCAAUCCCUGGAAAUAGCUCUCCUUAAUUUCAAUCAGGAGGCUGACAAGUAUAAAGCAAGGAUGCAGGUAUUAAAUGGUUAUUGAGUUGGACCAGAGUAUUCAGUUUGGAAGGAUUUUGUUCUCAUUCCAUUAUCUAAAAUAUUUAGGCUCUUAAAGUUCUUGCUCAAGCCAUUGAGGACAAUCCCACAUCUGCAGUUCUUUGGAUAGUUUACUUGCAAAUUUUCUACAGUAAUCAGAAGGCAAUUGUAAAGGAUGACUUGUUCCGAUAUGCGGUAUGUAUGUUUCUUUUAUUUUCUAUACAAUGAAGAAUUGGAAGUUCGAGACUCCUCAGUUGUGCCUUUUGGAUUCAAUGUUUGAUAUAACCGUGUCAUUAUUGAAAGAUUUCUAUGAGUUUUAUAUGAAAAUAAAGGCGUGAUGAGAGCAAAGGUAUCUUAUUUAGAUAGAAGGUCUUCACAAUAUCAAAGUCUUCAGGAUUUGAUAUUCACUACCAUUUUUGCUAAAUGGUCAUAAACAAACUAUUAACAUUUAGUACUGUUUCUUUUCUGUCUUUCUUUUUUUGAAUAUAUUCUUGUUCUUGCCCUAUUUUCCCUGUCCCAGUUCCUGGAUUACUCUUUCUUCUCUCUUUGUUUCCUGUUGUUUAUUCAUGGUAUUAAAAACAGAGGUGCAUUAUGACGACCUUAGUGAUAUUUAUUAGUCUUGCUUGCAAUCGUCCCUGUUCUUCAUGGGGAAAAAUAUCACUUGUUCACCAAACUUCUGUUAUUGUUGUCUAGGUUUCCAGUUUUGUGUUUAUUUCAGUACCAGGAGUUUAUGAACUGCUUUAUUUGAUUUCCAGGUUGAAUACAACAAAGAAUCUUAUGAACUCUGGCUUUUAUACAUUAACAGUCGUGUACAGCUUGAUGAUCGGCUGGCUGCAUAUGAUAUUGCCCUAUUGGCUCUUUCUCACCAUACGUCUACUUCUGAUGGAGAUGCCAUGCGCGCAAGCCAUUGCACUUUGGAUAUAUUUCUGCAGAUGAUGAAUUUUUUGUGCAUGUCUGGCAGUGCUGGUAUGGCCCUUGAGAAGAUCUCUGGGCUCUUUUUGUCCUCUAAGAAAUCUGACAAUAACCUUCAACUUUCUCUUCCUGAUAUUGUUACUUGCCUGACCAUUUGUGACAAAUUCAUCUUCUGGAUCUGUUGUGUGUAUAUACUUCUAUAUAAGAAAUUGCCUGAUGCUGUGGUACAGAAAUUUGAAUGUAGGAAAGAAUGUUCUGCUAUAGAGUGGCCUUCGGUUUCUUUAAGAUCUGAUGAGAAGCAACAAGCUGCUUCACUCUUGGAAUUAGCUGUUGAUUCACUAGCAUUGUACAUGGAUCAUGAAUCACUUGAAAAUGAAACAACUCUAAGGGCUGCACACCUGUUUGCUCUCAACCAUGUUAGAUGUGUAUCGGUCCUGGAGGGCCUCGAAUGCAGUAGAAAUUUGCUUGGAAAAUAUAUCAAGUUGUAUCCGUCAUGUUUAGAACUUGUUUUGAUGUCAGCUCGGGCUGAAUAUGACUUGGGGGGCUCCAAUUUUAAUGGAUUUGAGGAAGCUCUUAGAAACUGGCCGGAUGAAGUUCCUGGCAUUCAUUGUAUUUGGAAUCAAUAUGUUGGAUGUGUCUUCCAGAGUGGGAAAUUUGAUUUUGUGAAGGACUUAAUGGACCAAUGGUUUCAUUCUGUUCUGGAGGCAAGAUAUUCUGAUUAUGGAGUUUUGCAAGCUAAAGAUGAGAAGUCAGAUAGUUCACUGAUGUCAAUUUCAGUGUCAGAUCUCCAUGCUUGGUUUUUGAGUUGUGGUCAGAAUGACACUGUGUUCGGGAUGCUCAAUCUUUCAUUGUAUAAAUUACUGCAGAACAAUCAAUCCGAAGCUCAAGCUGCAUUAGAUCUGGCACUGAAGGCAGCUGCCGCUGAUAAUUACCAGCAUUGUUUGAGAGAACUUGUCCCGUUUUUGCUUAUAGGUAGUAUCAGAGAUAAGGGGGUGGUUCAUCUCAAAGGCAUAUUGAACAUUCUGAAUGUUCAUCUGGUUGAUGUUCGAGCUUCACUUGGCGCAGAACCACUGUCGCGAGAUUUCAUUCAAAAAAUCAAGAAGCCUGUUGCCCGACAGCUUGUCAGCAAGUUGUUGAGUCCAGCUUCAGCUGACUUUUCUUUGAUGAGCUUGGUUCUUGAAGUAUGGUACGGUCUUACUCUGUUACCCCGUGUUUGUGAUAAAGUGACGGAUUUGGUGGACUUUGUGGAAGCCCUGAUGGAGAUUCUGCCUUCUAAUUAUUUGCUUGCAUUUUCUGUCUGCAAAAAGCUUAGUUCCAAUGCCACAAAGUGCUCUGCCAGUUUAUCUUUCUGGGCAAGUUCACUCUUGGUAAAUGCACUUUUUCAUGCUGUUCCUAUAGCACCAGAAUAUGCAUGGGUGGAAGCAGCAGAUGUUUUGCAUGAUUUGACGGACAUUAAGUGUAUACAGGAGAGUUUUCACAAGAAAGCUGUAUCCGUAUAUCCGUUUUCCAUCAAACUCUGGAAAUCUUAUCUCCGUUUAUGCGAGACUGAAGGAAAUGUGGGAUCUGUUAAAAAAGCUGCCAAAGAAAAAGGAAUCGAGCUGGACUAACAAUAUGUUCAUGAAAGAAUGUCAGGUUGGUUGCUUUGGCAAUCAGCUGAAGCAAAUUUUGGGGAAACGUGUAUCUGUUACAUUUAGGCAAACUUGCUAGAUGAUGAUUGAGUAAACAUAGUUGUGUAAAUACUUGAACCGUCAGUAUAUGUGACAUGUCGGUUUACAGGAUAGUCGCCUGGUGCUCUGGAACUCAUUCCUGUGCAUCCAUAUUAGUUCUGUCUUCUCUUUUGUGAACGAGCUAGACUGGAUCAUAUGCGGUUACCCAGUUUAGUUCUCAUUACCAGUGUAUCUUCGCAUAAGAGUUUUGAGUUAUAAAUAUCCAGUCAUUUAUAGUUUAUGCACUCUGGUCAGAGCCCAGAGGAAGGAAUUGAAGCUUGAGGAAUUGAAGCUUGUGUGUUUUCUGGUGCAAUGUUUUUUCAUUUGCAAUGAAUGGACGGAGUGAGCAAGCAUCUUGGUCUGCUUUCAUUUGUUUAUACGCGGAUCUUCGGAGGGUUAAAUAGAAGGAUGGUCAGGGUGACAAAAGUAUGGAGCUAACGGAAGCUAAAUACGUAAAUACUUGCGGGAGAGGUAAAAUAUGAGCAUUGUGCUUUGAGAAUACAUGAAUUAGACUGGUACAGCCAUGAAUCUUAUGCGGUAACUCUCUAUUCCGCCUCUAGGUCAAACUCAUAUUCUCCGUGAUUGUGAUAUCUUAUAUUUUUUUGGUAGAAACAUGUAGAAAGGUAAGGAAGCUAUAUGUCAUAGUAAGAUAAGAAGUUUCUGGUGAAAUCAAUGCGAAGUUGCUAUUAUAACGUGUUUGAGACCCGUACUUUUGACUCGGUGUAAGAAUAUAAUUGCAACUCAAGAGUCAUAGAAAUUAUUAUUAAUUAUAAGUUUUUUUAUGAAACAAUUAUUUAUAAGUUGAUGAUAGUAUCAAAUCACAGUUGAGGCAGAGUCUUGACUCCUUGUAAGGAUGCUUCUAUAGAGUCCAAUUAGCUAGGAUGUAAGCUAAACCUUAUUAUGAAAUGUAGAAGAUUGUAAUUCUCAUUAUGGUAGCUAAUAAAUACUCCCUCCCUUUUUUUUUAUAACUGAUGUUUAAGGUUUUGCACACCAAUUAAGAAAAGUUUUUCAUUGCUUAAAUCUGUAUACUACUUUCCUUUUGUACCCUCAUUAAUUGUCCAAUUCACCUAUGGAGGGGCAGAUAAUUACUAGGGUUGUUACAAAGAGAGAAGCAAUAAUUACUAGGAGUAAUAAUUAAGAACCAUGUAUUGGAAAAGAGAGGUAAAAGGGUAAAAUUGUGAAAAAAUAAUUAAUACUGUAUGGGGAUAAUAAAACGACAGAUAAAAGUACACUAGAGUAAAUUUCUUAAACGUCAGUUAUAAAGAAGGGAGGGAGUAUUAAUUGUGAGAACUAAAAACUUGUUACGAGUAUUCUCACACGCUUGCAUUUUGCAAAUUGGGACAAUCAAGGUUCAUUGAUAACUCAAUAAAAAAUGAAAAUUUUGAAAAGCUAUUAAAGAGAAACAAAAGUUGCUCAACAAAAUUAUCAUGGAAAAAAUAAUGGCAUAAAAAUAAACAAAAAAUUACUCAUGGAGAAAAUGUUAUAUGUAAGUUGAAAACAAAGAUAGCUUGAAAUUAUUGGCUUCAGUAGAUAUGAUUCAUAUGCAAACCAAUCCUAUCAAAAAAGUGUUUAUUUUUCUUUGAAUUGUUGUUUAUCUUGUACAAGAAAUUCUUGUUUUGCUCAAUUUAAUAUAAUGUUAAGUUAUCCAUCUUUCGUUAUCUAGCAGUAAUGCUCGAUUUAAAAUAAAUCUAUAUCACUAAUUUGUAGCAUAACUUUUUUUUCAACAUAAAACUUCUCAAAAUAGAAUUUAUAAUUAAAUAUUUCAACAGUUCUACUUUGGCGUGGGCGACAAUUAAGGUUAAUCCUAUGGCUGAAUUUGAACCAUUAGAAUCUAUAUUUUGAAGAAAAGAAUUGAAAUUUAAGUGUUCAUCAAUUGUGAUCCCAUAUUAUUGUACUCCAUAUUACCAUUUGCAAUUCCAAAACUCGCACUUAAAAAAUAAAAAAAAUAAAAAACUCAAAAGACAGCCUUUUAAAUUGCAAACCUCAUUAAGGAGUUAAUUCUUCUACUAUUAUGAUUUUAUUUUUGAUCGUCCGACAGGAGCAAAUCUCUUCCUUGCUCAGUGCUUAAACCCUAGUUGUCAAUAAAACCUCAGCAGUUGGAGUAUUUCGCAGAGCUUAUAUCCUUUUUCAUGCUCAUGAGAAUCUUUCUUAGCUAGGGUUCUGGUUAGGCUUUCAUCUGGUUGAUAGAACUUCGUUAGAGUAGAAAUGAAUAAUCUGAAGCUCUCAUGGGAGCUACCGUCGAAGCUUCAAUUACACUCGGAAGAUGAAGUUGUCCAAUUUGCAGCAUUUGAUAUUGAACGCAACCGUAUCUUCUUCGCCUCCUCGGCCAACUUCAUAUACACAACUCAUAUUCCAUCUCCUCAAGUAAUCUCUUUUUCCUCUGAAUCGUUUUUCGUUUCAGUUUGUACUGUCUAUCGUAUUCUUCUUUUCGCUUUGGCGCGGAAGAUUUGAAUUAUUGUUGUAAAAAAAAAGUUUUAACCUUGACAAAUUGAGUAAAGAAAAAGGCUGGGCUUUAAUUCAAUUUGUGCUAAUUGGCAUGCAUGAAAGUAGUAGCGAUUAGAUAUGAAAUCAUUUACGCCUAUUAUCAAUGAUGGUUGUUACGGAGGGUUUGAACAAUGGAUUAGUAAAUUCCAAAAAGUGGCUUGAGAGAUAGGUCCCUGUAAAUGAUCAAGAUUUUGCAAAAGAACAAAGCUUCCCUACCCAUUUAGAGGUCCGGAACCAAGCUGACCAAUACAAUUACGAGGACUACGUUCUUUAUUUCUUUUUUUUUAACCCCCUAAUAACUGAUCAGUGCCAUCUAAAAGGUCUUUGGCUGAAUAUUUACUCUUCCAGCUUGUUGUUUCGGUAGUUGUUACAUGUGUAUAAAGAGGAGUGUAGACAUACCUGACAUGUGGGAUUUUGUGCCAGGAUGAAGGAACAUGGGGUUCAGCUUCAUUAUCUGCAGCAGCUGACUCUAUUGAUAUGGAACCGGGAGAUUACAUUACUUCCAUGGAUUAUCUGAUGGAGAAGGAAGCACUGAUAAUUGGGACUUCGUAUGGGCUUCUCUUGCUAUAUAUUGUGGAUGAUGGUACCACAGAAGUGGUCGGGCGAGUGGAGGGUGGCAUAAAGUGCAUUUCGCCUAGUCCAGAUGGAGAUUUGCUUGGUGUCGUUACUGGCUUCGGUCAAAUACUAGUGAUGACGCAUGAUUGGGAUGUGCUAUAUGAGAUGGCACUGGAUGAUCAUCCUGGGGAUGUUGACGUACGUAAGGACUUCUUCCUAUAUUACUUGAUCUUUUUUUACACUGCUAGCUCUUCAUAUCAAGUUGGUGUGGGUAAUUAAGCCUUUUGAUAAUCUACCUUUUCUUUCAGAUGAACCAGCUGUCUCCUCCAACUAUUCUUGUGAGAGUCCCAUUUCUUGGCGAGGUGAUGGCAAAUUCUUUGCAACCCUAAGCAAAGUGCAUGAUGCACUUCCCUUACGUAAAAAACUUAAAGUUUGGGAACGAGAUUCAGGUGCACUUCACUCUGUCUCAGAACCAAUGGGUUUCAUGGGAGCAGUUUUGGACUGGAUGCCCAGUGGCGCAAAAAUUGCAUCUGUUUAUGAUCGAAGGGAAGAAAAGAAUUCCCCAUCAAUAGUUUUCUUUGAGAAGAAUGGGUUGCAACGAAGCUCAUUUGGUGUUAAUGAUAACACUGAUGUAAAGGUAGACUCUUUGAAGUGGAAUUGUAACUCUGAGCUUCUUGCAUUUGUGGUUAGAGGUGAAGAUCAUGAGUCUAUCAAGAUUUGGUUCUUCAAUAAUAAUCAUUGGUAUUUGAAACAAGAGAUUAGAUACUUAAAGCAGGAUGGAGUUAAAUUCAUCUGGGAUCCAACAAAGCCACUACAGUUGAUAAGUUGGACUGUCGAUGGCCAGAUAAUGAUAUACAAUUUCAUGUGGAUCACAGCUGUCAUGGAUAACUCAACAGCAUUUGUAAUUGAUGACUCCAAGAUACUAGUCACCCCACUUUCUGUUUCUCUGAUUCCCCCUCCUAUGUAUUUAUUUAGUUUAAAAUUUCCCAGUGCAGUUCGAAGUAUGGCUUUCUUUUCUCACGGUUCUAAACAUAAUCUGGCCACAUUUUUAUCAGAUGGCAGGUUGUGUAUUGUAGAGCUUCCUGAAAUAGAUAUGUGGGAGGAGCUAGAAGGCACUGAAGUCAGUGUUGAGGCUGCCUCAUGUGAUAUUGGAUUUGGAUCUUUUACUCACCUGGCAUGGUUGGACUCACAUGUACUUCUUAGUGUUUCUCAUUUUACCGUUAAUCAGAUUAAUUGCUCAUUAGGAAACUUUUCUAGCAAGGAUGGGCUGCCUGCCUAUUACCUGCAAGAAAUUCAGGUCAUGUGUUCUGAAGAUCAUAAACCUGGUCCUGUAACAUCCACAGGCUGGCAAGCUAAAAUUUCCAACCAAAUUUCUGUUGAAGAACGGGUAAUUGGAAUAAUCCCUGGCCCACUAAAUAGAUGUUCAGCAUAUAUUCAGUUUGAUGGUGGAAAAAUAGUCCAAUAUUUGUCGAAGUUAGGGGGCAACAGAGUGGUUCCUCUUCAGAAAUGUGAUGACAUGUGUUUCUCAUCAUCAUGCCCAUGGAUGACUUUGGCUCUUGCUGAGGGGUUCGUGUCACAGAAGGCUUUACUUUUUGGACUUGAUGACAAUGGAAGGCUUCAAGUCGGUCGAAGGAUAUUAUGUGACAACUGCAGCAGUUUCUCAUUUUAUUCGAAUGCCACAGACCAAUCAAUAGCACAUUUGAUUCUUUCAACUAAACAGGAUCUGCUAUUUAUUGUAGACAUUGCUGAUAUUCAAAAUGAACAACUGGCUGUUAAAUAUGGGAAUUUCCUACCUGCUUUCAAGACUAGAACUGGAGAUGAUGGAAGAAACUAUAUAAACAUAUGGGAAAGAGGUGCUAGGGUUAUAGGUGUGCUACAUGGAGAUGAGUCUGCUGUCGUUAUUCAAACAAUUCGUGGAAAUCUUGAAUGUGUCUACCCAAGGAAACUGGUUCUGGCCUCAAUCAUCAAUGCCUUGGUCCAGGGGCGCUUUAGAGAUGCGCUAUACAUGAUACGGCGACAUAGGAUAGACUUUAAUGUUAUUGUUGACCACUGUGGUUUGAAAGCCUUUAUUCAGUCAGCUCCAGAAUUUGUGAAACAGGUGAGCAACUUGAGCUAUAUAACUGAGUUUGUUUGUGCUAUCACAAAUGGAAAUGUGAUGGAGACGUUGUAUAAGGAUUACAUAUUGCUACCUUGUCAAAAGGAGUUGAACACUGUAAAAUCUGGAUAUGCUGACAAUUCUGAUAGUAACAGCAAGAUUUCUGCUGUCUUGUUGGCGAUAAGAAAGGCCCUGGAGGAGCAAAUAGUGGAAAGUCCUUCAAGGGAACUUUGCAUUUUGACUACAUUGGCUCAAAGCCAACCUCCAGCUCUUGAGGAGGCUUUGACAAGGAUAAAAUUUGUCCGACAAAUGGAGCUAUCAGGUUCUGAUGGUCCAGGACGGAACAAUUAUCCUUCUGCUGAGGAAUCUUUAAAGCAUCUGUUGUGGUUGUCUGAUCCAGAAGCAGUUUUUGAAGCUGCUUUAGGAAUUUAUGAUUUGAAACUAGGAGCUAUGGUUGCAUUAAACUCACAGAAGGAUCCAAAAGAAUUUCUUCCAUUUCUUCAAGAAUUAGAACGUAUGCCAGCUGCAUUAAUGCAAUAUAAUAUUGACCUUAGACUGCAAAGGUAUGAAAAUGCUUUGCGACAUCUUGUUUCAGCUGGAGAUGGUUAUUAUGAAGAUUGCAUGAGGCUCAUGAGAAGUUAUCCUCAGCUCUUCCCCUUGGGUCUGAAACUCAUCAGCGAUCCUGUUAAAAAAGCACAAAUUCUUGAUGCAUGGGGAGAUCAUUUGAGUUCAAUGAAAUCCUUUGAAGAUGCUGCUGUCACUUACUUGUGUUGUUCUUCUUUGGAAAAAGCUCUGAAAGCUUAUCGUUCUUCUGGUAAUUGGAGAGGAGUUCUUACAGUUGCUGGGCUGAUCAAAUCUGGGAAGGAGGAAGUAAUACAGCUGGCAUAUGAACUCUGCGAGGAGCUCCAGGCACUUGGUAAACCAGGAGAUGCUGCCACAAUAGCCUUGGAGUACUGUGGUGAUGUCAAGGCAGGUAUUGAUCUUUUGGUUAGUGCAAGGGAUUGGGAGGAGGCUCUGAGGAUUGCCUUCCUUCACUUGAGGGAUGAUUUAGUCUCAGAAGUGAAAAUUGCUUGUCUUGAGUGUGCCAACUUGCUGAUUGGUGAAUAUGAGGAGGGUUUAGAGAAAGUAGGGAAGUAUGUGGCACGCUACCUAGCUGUUCGACAGAGGAGGUUAUUCCUUGCUGCAAAGCUUCGGUCAGAUGAGCAGUCAGUAGCUGAGCUUGAUGAUGAAACUGCUUCAGAAGUGAGCAGUAGUUUUAGUGGAAUGAGUGCAUACACCACUGGGUAUCCCUCAUGCCUAUAUUGCUUAUUCUACUGUUGCUUCACUUUAGGGUAGAAUGUUGGAUGUGCACGUCCCCUAAUUUCUUAGUCCCCUAAAUUUAUUUUUUGCCUGCUAGAUAUGUACCGACAGAAUUUUUCCUUUUGUUGCUGAUGAUCUUGCACUUCUUAUUUUUGCAUUCGUUCUUUGCUUUGAUGACCCGUCGUACUGAAAAUGCAUCCGGAACGUGAACUAGUUACUUUUUGAGCUGAUUGACUUUUGUCAGUGGCAUCCAAUAGCUUCCCUCAUGCCUGAAAACUAACCCAACAUCUUUCAUGGACAGGACAAGGAGGGGUUCAGCUGCUUCGAUCAGUUCAACCUCUACGAAGGGGAGAGGGCGUCAGCGAAAUAAGGGAAAAAUUCGUGCUGGCAGGUAUAUGAUUUGUACAAAGAUUGAGUUUUUUUUGUCUACUUCUAUAAGCUGUGAGAUUUGAAUCGGUCACAUUCUCAUCUUCUAUAUGAAAACUUGCUUGUAGCCCUGGUGAGGAGAUGGCUUUGGUUGAACAUUUGAAUGGAAUGGCUUUGGCUACUGGAGCAAAACACGAGAUUAAAUCUCUUUUAAUGUCCCUUCUGAUGCUUGGAGAGGAAGAUCUUGCUAGGAAAUUGCAACGCGCUUGUGAAAAUUUUCAACUGUCCCAAAUGGCAGCAGUAAAAUUAGCUGAAGAUGCAAUGUUGACUGAUAGCAUGGAUGACUAUGUGUAUUCCUUGGAGCAUUACAUUCAGAAAGUGAGGAAAGAAGUACACAAUUUGGAAGCUUUUUCUUGGCAGUCUAGAGUUUUGGUUUGACGAUGAAGAGGUAAUAUGCAUUGUAUUCAGUUUAUUUUCCAUGAUAUUACGUGUCACCUUAAUUGAUUAGAAUAUACUUUUCUGAUCAUUUUUGUUUGCAUGUGUCCCCCGUGUCCUUGAUACAGAAAGCAUUGCAUUGGACAGGGAUGAGAUCAUGAAGUUGUGUGAUUGGAACUUGAACCUAUUUUGUCAAUGCCUUCCGCGUUUUACUGGAAUCUGCUGUACUCUAAAGGAGGUCAUGCAGAAUAGAUUUGAAUGAAUCAUUCGUUUGCAAUGCUUAAUCUAGCUGGUGCCAUGCUUGCAAGUGUUGGUUCAUUCUUUAUUGAAUUUAUAGGAUUGGCUUGAUAUGGUGGAGGCUUUCGAGUAAUCACUUCAUUCUGUAGUGUAUCUAUUCAUGUUGAUUUAUCCUAGAUUUCGCUAGGAAACUCUUUCAAUAUUAUGAAUACUAGUAUCUCUGUCCUCCUCAGACCCAUCGACCUACUAGUUAUGAAGGGAUGAGGAGAAAUUAUUAUACUUGGUAAAUCUUCCUGUCUUUCCAAACUGAGAUGACCUGGCAGUUCGAGUAAUGAUGAAUGUAUUUGGAAACAGGACGAUCUGUUAGCAACUAGCUCUUUGACAUUGCAGGAGCAUGGGGUUCAUGUUCGGAUAAAAGGACAAGGAUUUGUACCUUGCAUAAAAACUUCUCUCCUAAUGAUACAUGUCAAAUUUAUUCAGUAUAAGCACGGUUUGAAAUGUGUGAGGAUGGAAAUUGGGCUUACGAUCUUUUCGUCACGUAAAUGGUGUAGACUAGAAAUUUCCUCUAAGAAACCUUUUCUGGGUCUGGAGGUUGGAGUUCGAAGAAAGAGAAUUUUCUUUUGCUCUUUGAUUUCCAUUUUACUCCAGAAGAAAUUAAUUUAACUACUUCUAGGUUUCCCGUUAAGGGAUGUAUUCGCUCUCGCAAUGGCACCCAUUUUCAUCUUGAAACGAAUCAAUCCAUUUGUAGAAGAAUUUGUACGAAAAAUUGUUGAUUUUUUCUCCCCUCCUUGACACCUUUUCUUUGAGGGACUUCUGUGGCAGUUAAGGAGCCAAGCAUAACCACAGAGCUCUAGCUCAGUGGCUACCACCUCUCUUGAUGGGGUGGAAGGUCAGGGUUUCAUCAAAUUGCCACUUUAGGUGACAGCCUUACAGCUUUAAUUGGCUUUCUUCGAUGGAGUCUCUACUCACAUCGAAUUCCCCUCCCCUUUCCUCUAUAUUAGGAUAGAUUAGAUUAUAAGAAUUCUACCGUUUAAAAAAAAAAAAAAAAAAAAAAGAGCCAAGCCUAUCUUCCUCUGAAACAAAUGGACGCAAAGGGGGGAUAAAUUGCUGUUAUCACCCUUACCAAAGCAAUGUGAAGAAUGCUUUGCUUUUCGUGAGGAAAAAUUUGGUUAAUUACUACGUGCGUGUUUCUAGGCAUGAUGCCCAACCUAAGAGAACAAGAGUGCUCGAGCAUCAUUAACACUGAAAAUAAAUUCGUGAACGUGAGAAAACGACAAGUGCUUGAGUAGAAUGCAAUGGGCAAAACAAUGGCGGAAAUCGCUUAGGGCCCAACCGGGUUCGAACCGGUGACCUCUUGAUCUGCAGUCAAAUGCUCUACCACUGAGCUAUAGGCCCUUCUGUGCUGCGUUGGAGGCAGUCCGCCUAUUAUGGGAUCACUUUCCCGCCUAAAGAAAGCUCCCAUACCUAAUUGUUUACCCUUCUAAACUUAUUUUAUCAGCAAUUUACCCCCUGAAGUUAACGAUCAACUAUCAAUCACCAUGAACAUUUCCGUUUGAAAAUAUGAUAAAAUGGCUUACAUGCCCCUUAAUAUGAAGUGAAUUGACUAACUUGCUUUCUUUUUCUCUCUUUUUUCUUCUCAAUAAUUUUAUGUUUUAAUCUCUUAUUAGCUUCCUUACACAAUGUAGUUUUUAACAUAAACAAAUAUUUUCUUAUUUAUUCACUCUCUAAAUGUUUAUUUCUAUUUUUUUUUUUUACUAAACAAAGCUGUUUAUCAUUCCCUUUGAUAAUUGCGUGGGGUAGUGAAAGUUCGUAAACUUUGGCAACCAGUGAUUGAUAAUUAUCGAUUUCAUCAUUAGGACUCCUAAUUAUCGAUUUCAUCAUUAGGAUUCCACAAGACAUGAAGGAAAAUUGAUUCAAAGUUUAUCCAAAAAUUCUUUUGCGAGUGUCAAUGUUUCUUUCUCUUUUUUUUGUUUUUUUUUUGUUUUUGGUUCUUUGGGGGGAGGGGGGGGGGUUGUGAUUGAUUGAGGAAUGGGUGGAUCUACUUAACUUUUUAUUGUAAAUACGAAUCCCGUAUAUUCUAAGGCACAUUUAAUUAAAUUAAGAUUGUGAUGCAUCAAUUCUUUAUCAUGAAUAAGUAAAAGAAUUAGCUAAACAAGACGGCAGCAACCAAGACUUCUUUGGAGAUGUGUCCGGCUUCAAACUGAGUGCUGGUCUGAACAAGGCUUGAGCAACAACAUAUCAAUUUUGCCUGCACCAUUCUGCAAACAAACAAGAGUUGAAUGCAAGCCGCGUCUGGCGGGCCUUCUUCUGUUCCCCAUUUUUGCGGAGUGUGAGAAAACUCGUUGCUAAUGGAUUUGAAUAAAUGCAGCUUAUAUCUUACCAAAAAUUCUUAUUCAAGUCAAUACCCUCAAAUCAGGUUCUGAAACAAGUCACAGCCAUAAAAUGGGACUGCCAUAGGUGGGAAUAUGAUACAACAUUUUCCACUAUAUUUGUUGUUAGGACCCUUCUCUUACCAUUGCAUAAUUUGCUAUAAGUACCUUGAGUUUCAUAAUGAACACCAUACCUUCGACCGUCAUGAGGUACUCUUGUUAUCCUGUAAAUUUUCAAGGAGAGAAGUUGGAGGAAGAACGAGAACCAUCAAGAUCAAAGGAAAUUUGGAGAGGAAAGACAUUACUAAGUUUUGAUCUAAACAGUUCUAACAGCCACCAAACCUUCUCUGGCGGCAAAAAGGAAGGCAGUUUGCCUUGCCACCCCACUAUUUGUCCGCAGCAGAGGUGUUGUGGUAUGUGUUUUGCUAUCAUACUCAAGAAGUCAUUUUAUCAACAUGAUUGGCAGCGCUCUUAUCAGGAAAGAAUACCCAAUUGCCACUUUUACUCCAAACAACUCAUUUGUGACUCGUGCUCUGAAGUAGAAGCCUGAGUUACCUACACAAUAUGCAAGGCAAGGCAUCCUCCUUUACUUCAACCCAACUACAUCCUGGAGUCUUUUUCAGUCCUGUCCCCUUCAUACUUGAUCUCGCAUUUGUUGCAUCAUCCCACCUACCUGAUUGAGAAUACAAGUUUGAUAGCACUAUAUAAUGGGCACGGUUCCCCAGCUCAAGGUCGGUGAGAUUUUUCAGUGCUAGCUCACCUAAUUUAAGAUUAGAAUGCAUUCUAGAUGCAUCAAGCAAUGCUCCCCAAACACCAGCAUCAGGUCGCAUAGGCAUUUGCUUUAUCAAAUCCAUAACUUCAUCAAGGAAUCCAGCACGCCCUAACAGGUCCACCAUACAUGCAUAGUGUUCCAAACCUGGUUCAAGACCGUAUUUUUGCUUCAUGGAGUUAAAUAUUUUUUUACCUUCUUCGGUUAAUCCUGAGUGUCUGCAAGCAGACAAGACACUAAUGAAAGAAAUAGAAUCAAUUUUGGCCUCACUCUCUUGCAUGAGAUAAAAAGUUUCAAGAGCACGAUCACCUAGCCCAUGAACUGAAUAUGCAGCAAUCAUGGCAUUCCAAGAAAUCGUAUUCUUGUGAUUCAUCUCAGUGAAUAUUUGUUCUGAAUAAUCUAGGCGGCCACAUUUUGCAUACAUGUCGAUGAGACCAUUUGCAACAAGUGUAUGAGACUGAAAUCCUCUUAGGAUUACAUAUGUAUGAACAACCAUACCUUCUCUAAGGGCAGUCAAAUAUGUAGUUGCUGGCAGGAUGCUCACAAUUGUGACCAAAUUAGGUUGGAAAGCCUCUGAUAUCAUAUGAUAAAAUGUAGAAAUGGCUUCCUUAGCACAUCCAUUGUACAUGUAUCCUGCAAUCAUUAUAUUCCAUGAUACCUCAUCUUUAAAGGACUCAAGGUGUUUAAAUAUGACUUCAGCUGAUGGCAGGCUUCUGCAUUUGGCAUACAUAUCCAUUAGAGCAUUCUUCAUAUGGCAGUUUGACUCAAAACCGUAUUUGAUAAUUUGUCCAUGGAUGCAGCUUCCUAGGCAUAAGUCACCUAAUAUGGCACAAGCUGGAAGCACACCAGCCAUUGUACCAGAAUCUGGGUGUAACCCAGCUAAUCUUAAUUUGGAAAACAUCUCCAUCACAUGGUAAGGAUCACCAACCUGUGCAUAGCCAUUUAUCAAAGCAUUCCAUGUAACAACCUCUUUAUUUGGCAGCCCAUGGAACACAAUCAAUGCUGAAGAAAACAUAUCACAUUUUGCAUACAUGGAAACUAGGGCUGUCCCAACAGAUAAAUCAGAGUCAAUAGCAUAUUUGACAGCAUAGCAGUGCAAGCUCUUCCCCAGCUUCACACAAUAUAAUUCACCACAAGCUGGAAGAACACUCACUAAAGUCACUGCAUUAGCCUUCAAUUUCUCAUUCUGCAUUUCCCGAAAAACAGAGAGAGCCUCUUCAUAAUUGCCAGAUUGCGCAAAAGCAGCUAUAAUUGCUGACCAAGCAACUAAAUCCCUUUCUCGAAUCCCCCAAAACAACUCCAUCGCCUUCUCUACUUCUCCACACUUUGCAUACAUGGUCAUCAGAGAAGUAGAUAGCAUAACAUCCGAAUCAAUCCUUUGUCUUACUGCAUAAUCAUGAAUUUCCAGCCCCUUCUCAAAAUCCCUCAUCUCAGAGGCUGCCAACAAAGCAUUCACAGCUGAAACCUUAUUCAUCUCCAGAUUCUUCCUCUUCAAACAAUCAAACAACUCCAAAACCUGACAAAACCACCCAUUGUAUGCAUAGCCAGCCAUCAUUGUCCCCCACGUAACAUCAUCUUUCCCCGCCAUUCUAUCAAAAAUCAUUCGAGCUUCAUUACAAUAUCCACAUUUCGCAUACGCAUCAAUCAAUCCAUUCAAAACUGUAGUUGGAAAAUUCCUCCUCCACACAAAACCGUGCAUGGACAUACAAGCUUUUGCAUCCAUCAGCUUACAAACUGCAGGAAACAAAUUUAACAAGCUGACAGCAUUCGGCUCCACCCUACUAUCCAACUGCAUAUACUUAAAAAGUUCCAAGGCCUCAUUCGGCUCCGCACUCAGCGAUAGCCCUGAAAUCAUAGCGUUCCAAGCCACAACAUCCUUGCUAGGCAUCUUAUCAAAUACCUCUCUGGCACGCUCUAAAUCACCAAAUUUACAGUACAUGUCGACAAGUGCAGUAGCAAUGAAGACGUCGUUUUCAAGCCUUCUUUCGACUAUUUCUCGAUGAACAAGAUUGCCCUCUUUUAAAUCUAAAAUUCCAGUGCAGGCUUUGAGUACAAAAGUGAAAGUGUAAUUGUCUGGUCGGACCAAAUUUUCUCGCAUUACGCGGUAAAGUUGGAGGGCUUCUUUGUGUUGGUUUGUUCUUGUGUAGGCUCUGAUCAUUGAGUUCCACAAAAUCACACCAGGGUUUGGCAAGGAAUCGAAUACUAAUCGAGAAAGUUGGCAUUUUUGGAAGGAAGAGUAAUGGUUGAUCAGGUGGGUGUUUGAUGAAAUGUCAAAACCGAGUCCAGCGGUGAUCAAAACGGCAUGAACUUGCUCAAGAUUCUUGGGGUCUUUACAGGAGGACAGGAGGCCAAGGAGGUUUUGGUGGUUGGGGAAAUUUUGAGGUUUGGUGAAGGAUAAAGAUGGGGUCCUGCUGGCUAGUGUUGAAAGGGAUUGUAAGUGCGGCUUCAACUUUGAAUUAGCAUGUCUCAUAAACAUCUUCCUCACCUAGGCAAACAUAUUUGUCAUGGUUAACUAGUCACCAGACACAGCGGAGCGAGAUAAUUCUGCUAACUGCUAUUGAUCUAAGCUUUUAGAUUAAAGCAAAGAGCAUGUGAGAAGACGAGACGAGGAAGAAUGGCUCCUCUUGGUUCAUGCAACGCAACUAAGGAAGAUACAUAAUUACAUGGUACAACAAUUCUCAUGAAUUAAAUCUGCAAUAGUGAGACCACUGAUCUUUAUAUGCUAAAGUUCAUCAAAAUACUAGGCUACCUGGUUCUUUUUUCUUUUUCUUUUUCUUUUUUUUUUCCUUUUUCCUUUUUGAACUUUUUUUUUUUGCCCCACUGUUUUUCUGGGGAUGAAACUCAAAGUCCAAAGCUGUCAAGUAGCCUAAAAUCCUAAAUAACUGAUCAUUCAUGGUCUGUAUUUUUUGUCAUUCAUCCUAAAAUCCUAAGCAACCCAUGGUCUUGUUUCAACCCUUUCUCCAUUCAUUGUCCAUUUUUUUUUAAUUUUGGUUUCAAGUUUCAACCCUACUAAGCUAAUGUUCGAAUUAUGUUGUAUGUUUCAGACAUCAAUUUCAGCAAAAGUAAAGCACAAAUUACACUUUUGAAUUGGGAUGUUGUCGCUACCUAUUUGCCCACUUUCCUAAACAAUCAUCAAUUGUUAGUGCUAAUUGUAGAAGGCCACGUAAAAGUCUUGUAAAAUGUUCGCUUCCAUAUUCUCCAAAUCAUUUUGCGGAAUAUAGAAACAUUUCGAGAUUUUUUUUUUUUUUUUUUGUCGACACAGGGGUGUUCGAGUCUAUUUUUACGGGGCCCGACUAAUCCUCUGCUGUUCGGGCCCGGCGCCCCAACUUGGCCCGAACGCGUUAAGUGCGUGGAGGAAUCCAGCGGAGCGGAGACUCGAACUUAUGACCUCAAGGUUCACUGGUGAGAGGCGCUGCCGCUGGACCAUUCACGCGAGGGCAUAUUUCGAGAUCUUACUUAGAAGAACUUUUCACAAGCACAACAUCAUGCAAUGCUAUCAAGAAAAUCGGAUGAUUAUUGAAAAUUACUGAGAGCUUUCCAAGGAUGGGCAGCUGGACUAAUCUGAAAAACAGACGGCUUUUUUGCUAGGCUACCGGGAAUCGAUGUGAGGCAAUGAGCCAAUGACGACUGAGCUAGAGGUGGCUCUUUGGGCUAUUAAUGAAUGAUUUCUGGACACAGAAAUAGUCUAAAUGCAAAAUCUAGUCUCUGGGACUUAUGCAGUGGGAUCUUGAUUCUUGCAUCGCACAUGUAGAAGUCGAAACUGAUUCCUAAUUGGGAGUACUUCGAGCUUAUGGGUGCAAACAAAUGAGUUGAGUCGAGUUUUGAUCUUAUCGAGUCGAGUCUCUAAUUAAUUUCAUAAAACUCGAACUCGAACUCGACGAGGUCAAAAUGUCAAGCUCAAGUUCGAGCUUAGAAAAAUAAAAAAAUUAAUUAUUAUUUUAUUUAAAAAUAAAAAAUAAUUAUUUUAUUUUUUAAAAUAACUAAAAUAAUAAUUUUUUUAAUAAAUAAUAAAAUAUUAGGGAUAUAUAUAAUUUUACUAUUAAAAUAAAAAAUAAAAAAUAAAUAUAAUCCAGCUCAUGAGCCACUCGCGAACCAAUAAGUUUAAUAUUUUUGAAUUCGAGUUCGACUUGAUUAGCUCGAACUCGACUCGAAUUCGAUAUUGACCGAACUCGAGUCGAACUCAUAUUCAAACCGCUCGCGCUCGACUCGAUUCGUGAACAGCACUAUUCGAGCUGCCCCUGAGCAUCCUCAAAUCGACUUCAUACGAAAGAUUGGAGAGCCAAGGGAAAUGUACAAUAUGGUCUAAUAAGACUUAUAUCCACUCUUUGAAGUUCUCUACUUGCUUCUUUUGUUUUGUACUGGAACACCAUGUAGAAUUUUAAAAAAUCUUAAAACAUCAUACGUCUUUUACAUUGUCCUUAUCGUGCACUUCACCGAAAAAUUUUACCAUACCCAAAAAGAAAAUUAAAUGGUUUAUCAAAAUCAGUUUUCUUUGACUACAUUGCAAUGCCAUACCAAUAAAAGCAAAAAAAAAAAAAAAUUGCCCGAAUUCAGAAUUAUAAGUUUAAUGCUUAAUAAUGGAAGGUGCUUACAUAUGCAAAGUCAUUUAAAAGAUAUCCAUUGAAUACUCAUUAGGACGUACUUUAGGUGCAAAAUUUUUUGAAAAAGUAAGAUUAUUUAAGAAAAUUAUAUAAAUACAGGAGAGAGCUAUAACUGAUUAAUUAAAAAAAUUAUAUUAAUACAAAAAAAAAUAAUCAUUAAUAUGUAUACAUACAUAAUAUAUUUAAAUAUAUUGCCCAAUAAAACCCACCAUACUCCGUUGGGUGACUUGGUAACUUACAAUACUCCCAACUUCACGGCCUACUCGAAGCACUCCCAAAUACAAGAAGGUCCUGAGCUUUGAGGCUUUGAAGGAAAAAGUUACAGCUAGCCCAGCCCAAUUCUCAGUCCUCGGAACAAAAUAAGGCUUUGAGUGAGUUUGGCAAAGAGAGUCUAAAACUAAAAGAAACACAGAGCAAAGCGCAUUUCAUUGCAACCAGCGAUUCUUUUGGAUCGAAAAAGAGAUUAACAUUGGUCAAAGCCAUGCCAGUACAGAAUUAAAAAUAUACGGAAAAGGGGCAUCAAGCUACAAACAUUAAAUCUAUCCCUGCGCACAAGACACAACAUCCUGCUUGAUAAAUCACACCCAAGUAGUAAAUAAAUCCACAAAUAACACUGAUAGUAUACGCGAGAUCACCCAAGUUUCAUGAAGCCAAGACGCAAUGAAAAGAUGAACAACAAUCGGAUAUAUCAUCUAAGCAAGUUCUACUUUGACACAAAUAUAAACAUUUAACAUAAGCAACGCAUGCCGUAUGGAGGACCCUCAUCUGCAAGAAUGACAACUCAAGCAGCUCCACCAGCUCGGCUUUUGAUAACAUCAAGCCCAAUUUCUGUAGGAUCUGUUGCUUGCAACUCUACCUGGAUACCAUCAAGCUCCCUCUUGAACCUGUCCUUAGAGCUUGCAUAGAUCAUCUUGCUUCUGACUUUAGAUGUAUCCGGCGACCUUCACAAUUGCAUAGAACUAUCAGACCAAAUACACUAGGAAAUAGAAAAAAAAAGAUUAAGUUGAAUAUUUACGAGAUAAAACAAUGUGCUAGAUUUACUAACCAAGCAAUAAAAAAGAUUCUGCUCUUGGGGACAUUUUCCUCAGUCAUAAAGUCAUAGUCAUAGACAGCAUAUCGGCACUCAUCAGCAGGUAGGUUUGCAGUGAAUUCUUCAUAGCCAUUUGCAGGCUCACCAAGCUUUUCCACGAUAACCUGCUUUUGCUUCUCUUCGAUCUUAUAAAUUAUGAAGCGAUAAGUUCUUUUUGCCUUCAAUUCUAAGAACUUCAGCUUACAAUCAUCAUGAACAGCCAUGCCCGAUGCUGCGUUAGCCUACAUUUUUGACAGAGCUUUUAUCUCAAAACCAUCCAAAAGACAGAGAAUAGAGACCAUUAGACACAGGUAUGCAUUUUAGUAAUGCCCAAUAAUCUUAGAAGCAUCAGUUUGUCAAAAAGAUUCCUUGUAAAACCUGUUUUUCCAGCUUAAAAAUGCAGGCCUCUGAUUAUACUUUUUGUGUCCUCCUUGUCCAGCUUAUUUACAAACUUCCAAUUGGAACUUUGAUGUCUAAUCUUCUAAAAACUUGUAAGAAAGUUUUGGCCUGAAUACCAGAAUGCCACAGGCAAUAUUUCCCUACUACCAACUUCUAGUACAAAAGAAUGAGAAGGGAAAAAGACAACCCCAGAAAGAAAAUUAGGCAAGUUCACUGGCAAUAGCAACUUUUUGUAUUCAUAUUCAUGCCUAUGAGUUCAGUUCUAUGAAAGCUACAUGUAGUGCAGCAAAAUCAUGACAUUUUGUCUGAGAAUAGGCAAAAUUUAGCACCACAGAAUUCCCAUUGGACUGCGAUUAGUCAUCUUCAGGAACAGAAUUAGAUAGGGCAUUGGAACUGUUCCUGAUACAGCUUAGUUUGAACAGGAUACAAUACCAAUUGGGAUAGAGAACCAAGCACGAGGAGUACGAGAAGGCAGGCAUUUUGGUUCUCGAGCCCGUAAUCCGUAGCUCCAAGUUUAAAAUAAUCAAUUAUUGGACUUGCAGCAGGAUCAUAAGCUUCUUAGUGUUAUAAAGCAAUCAAUACCACAGACCCCAAGAACAAAGGGUAUUUACGGGUACACGACGUCUAAGAAGAUGAUCUAUCCAUCGACCAAAACUGCGUCUUGAACUAAAUGAUUAGGAUCCUUAAUUCUUAAUUUUUCACUUCUAUUUAAAGAUAAAAAAAUGUGGCGAAGUCGAAUCCAUAUUUGCACGUACCAAUUAUAUUUAUACACCCUCAAAAUAGCCACAAACACAAAAGAAAAAAUUCCGAUCAUCAAACAAACACGUCAUAUCCAUCAACCAAGCCCAAAUCAAAUCAGAUCCGGGGACCAUCCAGGCCUAAUUCAACCUUAAAUUUAUCACGAAUGCUCAGAAAUGGAUCAAAAUUUUAAAAAGUCAGACCCAUGUCCACGUUAUUAAUAGAUCCAACCCAAAUAAAUUAAACCAAAACAAAAGCACAUAGAUACAGGAUAUAAAAGAAUAUUUACACAAAUGACAAAUAUGUACAAUCAGAAGAAAAAAUAAGGGAGAAAGAGAAAACAAAAAUACGAACUAACCAUGCUUUGAGGCGACAAAUCGAGACGAGGAGAAAUCCGUGGAGAGAGCGAUGGGAGGAGAGGAAAUCUAGGGCUCCGAUAAAAGAGUUUUGCUGUUUUAGAUAGACUUUUCAAUCCGAGAGGUUAAGAAGAAAGAGGCCUAUUCCUUUUCCUCUCUUUUUCUUUUCCUGUUUUUUUCUCUUUUUUUUAAAGUUAUAUUGGCUUCGAAUAAAUUGCCCGAAGAUCCCUGAACUUUACCCAAAGUUUCGUCUGACCCUCACGUUAGGAAAAAUUGCACUACUUUGUGAAAACUUUUGCUAAAUGUAUAAAUAUGGUCAUUUGGCAUAAAUUAGACAAAUGACUAGAAGUGGCAAAAUGGAUUCAUAUCCACCAAUCCAUCCAUAUAAACCAACCUUAAAUGGAUUUGGAUUAUCCAUAUAAAUUCAAUGGUUUUAAAUGGAUAACCAUUUAAAUCCAAUUAUGUUGGUGGAUUUAGAUGGAUUAUCCAUCUUAUCCAUAUACAUCCAUUUAACUUAAAAAAAUAGAAAACACAUUUAUAAAAAUGUGAGAUAAAAUCUUGUGGGACUAUCUAUUAGGGGUGGGCAAAAUUAUUCGCUAACCCGAAAACCCGUCAUAUCCGAUCCGAUCCGAUCCGAAAAUUAGGAUAUCCGAUUUUUAUUAUUUGAUCGGAUCAAAAUAGGGUCGGGUAUCCGCUAAGAUACGGGGUGGGUUAGGGUCACAUAAUUAAAAACCCGCGGGUACCCGAUCCGCCCCGCAUAUAUAUAUUUUUAUUUUUAUUUUUAUACACACACUAUAAAAUAACAAGUUAGAACUAAAUAAGUAAUUUUAUUGAACAAAUUGCAUUACAAAUAUGAGAGACUAUAAUUUAUUUACAAGAUUCAUUUGUAAAGGCCAAGAUCUUAUAUUUUAUAGAAAAAGUUUAAUUAAUGUGGAACAUAUAUAUUAAAAAUUGUGCUACUUAUUUCAAACUUUUAUUGAUUUUGAAUUCUUUUAAUUUUUUUUCUUUAUCUUAUAUUCUCUUCAUAUGCUUGUUUCUUGGUGGGAAACCUUUUUUUAGAAAAAAAUUAUUAAAUUUUAGAUGAAUGUGUAAAAUAUAAAAUUAAAUUGGUAUAAAAAUCAUUUUUUUAAAAAAAUUAAAUGAUAAACGGGGCGGGGCGAGUAUCCGCUGAUCCGACCCUAUCUCAGUGGGUACCCGUUAUAGGGUACCCGCUGAUAUGCGGGGCGGGUAAGGGUCAGAAAAUGGCUGACCCGCAAGGUGCGGGUCGGGUCAGCCAAAUGGUGAAUGGGGCGGGUACCCGACCCGCGCCCACCCCUACUAUCUAUUCUUUUCUUCAUAACUUCCUCAUAUGUCAAAAUAAUUUUGUGGGACCACCUAUUCUUUCCUUCAUAACUUCCUCACAUGCCAAGUUGCCAAUAACAUUAAUUGCAUUUUGUUUGCUUCUAGUUCCUAGACUUCUUCCAUCCUUUUCAAAAUUAUGGGCCUGUUUGGAACCUGAGUUUUUUGGGAGUUUGUCUAAAACUUUACUGUAGUGUACUGUAGAAGUUUUUGAAAAAAUUUUGUAGAAAAUUUUGUAAGGUGAAAAACUUUUUUUUUUCUUUUUUUUUCCUUUCCUUUUUUUUUUCUUUUUUUUUUUUUUUUUUUCCUUUUUUUUUUUUUUUUUUUUUCCCUUUCUUUUCUUUCCUUUUUCUUUUUCUUUCUUUCCUUCUUUUCUUUCCUCUCUUUUUCUUCUUCUUCUUCUUCUUCUUCUUCUUCUUCCCCGUCACCUGCGCACCCCCAGCAGCAACUCCACCUCCCGGCUGCCCCGCCUUCCCCCUCCCCCAGCCACCCCCCUCUGCCCCGCCUUCCCCCUCUCCCUUGCUGCCCCCAUCUGCGCCGCCCCCCUCUGCCCCGCCUUCCCCCUCCUCCCUCCCACCCUCUGCCCCUUCCCCCUGCGCCCCUUCCGCCGCCCCCGUCUGCCCCCCCUCGCCACCCCCGUCUGCCCUUCUCCCUCUCCCUUGCCGCCCCCAUCUGUGCCGCCCUCUCUGCCCCUUCCCCCUCCCCCUCGCCAGCCCAUUCCGCCGCUCCUCUCUGCCCCCCUUGCCACCCCCGUCUCCCCCUUCCCCCUUUCCCCCGCCGCCUCUUCCCCCUUUCCCCCGCCACCUCUUCCUCCCUCUGCUCUCCUCGCCGCCCUCCUCUGCGCCGGACGUAGAGAGAAAAAAAAAAAAAGACAAGAGGAUGAUGGCAGGGGAGGAAGAGGGGGAGAGGGAAAAAAAUAGGGGAAAAAAAUUCUUGUCCGGCACCGGCAUCGGCACCGGAAAUUGGUGACGGAGCCGGCAAUGGAGGUGGUGGUGGGGGAGGAAGAAGAAGAAAAGGGGAAGGGAAUUUUUUUUUUUUAUGUUUUGGAUAUUUUAAGUGUGUAGGUUAAAAACUUUUGAUAAGUUUUUUGGGGUUCCUGUAGCAAAAGUUGUUAAAAAACUAGUUUUAUACAAACUUGGUAAAAAACCAAGCUUCCAAACAGGGCCUAUAAUUUAAUCUCUACUCUUGUUUUUUUUUAAAUUAAACUCUCAUGUAGUAAUGAUUGCAAACAUUUAUAUUCUUAAGUAAAAAAAAGCGAGAAUGCAUCAUGCAGUGUCAAAAUAAUUUUUAUUUUUUUAAUUCUUUUAUUUAUAAAAAGAAUUUUUCUAACGAGUGUCCCCACAACAUUGGUUAAGAUAUGUAAAUGACACUUUUUUUUUUUUCCAAAUUCUCAUACUUGCAAUCCCUCUCUCCUUAUCACCCAAUCCAACUAUCAAAAAAAAAAAAAAGACACCUAAUUUACUAAGUAAUAUAAGGUAACUUGUAUAUCAAUGGUAUAAUAAGGAGUUUCAUACAUUUUUAGGUACUACGUGCACAUGUAAUGAAAAUAUUUUACUUGUCAAAUAACAUAAGAUUUUUUAUUAGAACUCCACUUUUAUUCAAGACAUCACUCUUGAACAGGAGUGCAAAAAAUUGGAAACGUAAACUUCUUUUCACUGUAAAGCCGUAUUCAAUUCAUUCAAAAGUUAUAAAAAUAUAACCAAGUUCUUAAUUGUUCAUUACUUUACAAAAUGAUAUUUAAAGUAAUGACGAAAGGUUAAAUUGACCACAGCAGUUAAAUUUUCUUGGAACUAAACUAAUUUUAUGAAGAACUGAAAUAGAGUAGUAGUACAAGCAUUUGUUAUUACCAAAAGGUUUUAGGUGAUUUAACAAUAGAACUUUGGGGAUCUGUAUUUUUUGAAAAAAAGCAUUUGGAUCUUAAAUUUAGGAUUUGGGAGAGUAAAUGGAUAAAUGGAUGGAUCAUGGUUUACACUAUCCAUUUAAAUGACAUCCAUUUAGAUCCAUUUAUUAAAUGGUUUUAAUUGGAUUGGAUCAAUUUGAUCCACUAUCCAUUUAACUAAAACCAUUUAUCAACCAUAUAUCCAUUUUGCCACUUCUACAAAUGACAUUCAAUUAUUCACCUUUUUCUUUUCAGGUAUUAAUAGGUUUUGUUGUUGGAUACAGAUUACCCUGCAAAUUUUUGUUAAAAUAAUUAUAAAAUAAUACACCAUUGAUGUACAAAUGCAUUGCUCAGAUAAUCAUUUCAAAGUUGAGUCAAUUGCAUCUGAAUGAAUGCGAUUUUAGUUUAAGCAUUAUUGUAAUACAUAGGUAAAUCUAAAUUGAGCUUCAUCUAAUUUAUUUUGUAGUUCGAAAAUUAUGUCAUCACUAUUGAAUCAUGUAGUCUUGUAUAAUUUUUGUUGUGUAACAUAUAUAUUGUUGCAUAUUUCACAAUUUUGAAAAAUUAAAUAUGGCAAUUAUGUCAGAUUUAUUAGUUAAAGAGUUGGAAAACUUUUGCCAAAAGAAUCAAUUUGAUUUACCAAUUAAAUAUAAUAAUUAAACUGCAACGGAUGGACAUGCCAAAACACUAAAAUGAAAAAAAAAAAAAAUUUAUUGGACGAAUUAGAUAACUAAAAGUUCGCACGGCACUUUCAACUACAAUAGCAUUUUAUAUGGUCUCUUUUUCUAAAAUUUUCGGAUACGCUGUUGCUUUUUAACUUUUUGGGGUUUUCUUUUCAAUUCUAAAAUGGGAGAACAGAAUCACAGGCGACCGGUGACAGCGAAAGUUGAAGUAAUUUGGUCCAGUAAAUUGAUGCCACGUAUUAUUUGACGUAAAAAGCUUUGCCACGUUAUGGGCAGGAAGGCUGGCGCACAGCGUAAAUGACAUCCAUGUGCCCACACUACAGGAGGAAAAGUAUUCAGACUCUGUUCUAUUAAUUACUACAAGCUUCCCUCAAAUUAUUCACAUAUCUAGUUUGGACCUCUAUAGUUUUGAAAUCAUUUGUUUUCUUACCCUGCUAAUUUUUACCUUUGAUAAAGUGUUCUUUGAGCUUGUAGCGAUUAAACAAACCAAAAGAGUUUCAGUUAAUUUCGAAUUCAAUCAUCGAUAGUGUAUAUGUAUAUAUAUAUAUUUUACUGUGUAUUAAUUGCAAGUUGAUGACUGCCUAAUUACUGCAAACUUAUUUGUUUUUUUUUUUAUUUUUUAGUACUUAAGAGACAUUGGAUAUAGACAGGCAUAAGUGGAUCUUAAAAAUAUAUUUGGUUUGUUUGGAUUGUGAAUUAUUAGAGAUAUUUUUACUGUAACACUUUUUGUGAUAUGAUGUAUGUGAGAUAAAAAGUUGUGUUGGAAAUUGUAAUGAUGAUGUCAGCAAAUAUAUUUUGACAAAUAAAUCACAAUCCAAACAAACCUAAAUAAAUUUUGCUUUGAUAUGUUCAACCCACUUGAAAACCUAAACUUGGGAAAAAAAAAAGAUCUUGUCGAUAAUAUGAUGUCCAAAAAAAACAUUAUAGUAUGAGAGUUGGAGGCAUGUCGCUGAGUGGACAUCCACUUGGAUUACGUGUUUAUUUUUUAAAAAACAUAUUUAUGAUAAGCAAAUUCCGUAGUCACUUUAGAAUAUAAAACCACUGCUAACGUUUAUAUAGGUUGUUUGGGCAUGUUGUAUCACGGGCUGUUUGGGCAAUGUGUUCAAUCACCUUAAUAGCCUAUUAAGUCAGAAGCAAUUUAUAAGGGUUUUCUAACAGAUACUUGUUGGGUACUCGUUAGUAUACCUAAUAUUCACCUAAUCUACUCUACACAUAUACAGACUACUAAUUAUUACCUUUUCUUAUAUUUAUAUACUUUUCUUAUUUAAUCUUACCUAUUCUCUCUUAUAUUUAUUUACUUUUUUUAAUUAAUCAUACAUUUUUAAAAACAUGACACUUGAAAUAUAUUUUAACGAAUAUCCUAUAAACAUCCAUUAAACAGAUCCAUUUAAAAAUAGAUUCAAGAAAUUAUGGUGGGAGAAUUUGAAUAGUAGUUAUGACGUGGUUGCUCAUGGUUACUCAGGACCAAGAAUUUGAAUAGUAACUACAACAGUUGCCACUCAUAGUUAUUCUGGACCAAUAUAAAAUUUCCCCUUUUUGUGGUAAGGGAACGAACCUUUGUAACAAAACACUCAACUCGUUCUCUUUCCUUUUUCUCUUUAUUCUUGAAAAUCAACUACUGGGAGCUAGGGUUACGAUUCAUGAAAUCAAUGUUUGAGUUCCUCUUAAACAAAAGUUGCUUCUAGCAUUUUAUGUUGGAUUAAUUUUUCUUACACUGAGUGUAUAUACUGUGAGCGUUGGAUUCAUGAUAGCUAUGCAAUUCAAAUUUUACACACAUAUCAUGAAUUCAAUAAUAAUAGUGUAUACACGACUGACUGUUAUUAUUGUGUAUAAGAUUUACUCUUUUCAUGCUACUCGUAAACCUUCUUAAAAUGUGCUGGUAUCUUUACAGGUCCUUUAAGUACGUAGAUGACACAAUUAUGAAUAAUUUGACGAUAAAGUGCAUGAUUCUAGUGGAAUAAAGACAGUGGAGUUUACAAAAACUGGACUGCUUUCUCUGUACCUUUUCCAAAUAUCAUGCAAUAAUCAUAAAAGGACAAAACAGCUUAAUCGUAAAGGUCUUUCGGACUUUUAUGUGUCUGGUAAUAAUUGCUGUCUUUUUGCAGAAUUACGUCGUUAAUAAUCUAAUGGAGGUUAGUAGUACAAGAUCAAUGCAUUACCGCUGCAGAUAAGAUUUUCAUUACUUGAAAUCUGUGGAUAUAUUCGAAAAUGAAAUAGGAAAGGACAAGAUGGUUGGGAGUAAAACUAAAAACUGGUGAAACUAAUUAAAAAUGUGUCAAAGUAUUCUGUGAAGGCUAGUGUUUGCCGUAGAGUAGGGAUUGAAAGCAUCCUCCCUGAUGAGAUUCCGAGUCAGUGAAACUGGAACCAAACAAAACCCCAUGCUACGUAGAUCAAAUUGGCUCUCUCCGGUGAUCUGUUUAACGAAAAUAGGGUUUAAAAGUAGCAAUUAGCAAGAGGGAUCAAUUCCAAUAUUCAUGUUUAAGGUAAGCUCAUGUCAAACAUUAACAGAACUUUUAGUGUUGGGAGGUGAAACGUUUGUAUACCUUUGAUUGAGAAUAUUCGUGGUCCAUAGAAGUACUUCUUACCCUGUUGAAAGUAUUCUGCACAAAAGCAACGAGAGAAGUUGAGAAAUGAACGCUCUGAAGAUAAGCUACUCAUUUCACUUUGUUGACUGCUCUCAUGUUUUAGCAGAACCUGCUGAUUAGCCCUUAUUAGUGUUUGGAUGACCUUAACGAUGUAUAACAGCCUUUCAAUUACCAAGUAAUUAUGUUUCGAAAAGAUGAGCAAUCUUCCUUAAAAGCAUUAGAUUUUGCAUUUUAUGGGACUCUGAGAGUAGCCAGUUUAACCCCCACUUAUGCUAAAUGUUUUACAAAGGAAGCAAAAUUGUUAGAGAUUAGAUUGAAACCUCUAUUUGAUCUUGAAGAACCUUGAUAAACACUGAAGCCUCGUGAAGCACCGAGGCAGUAUCAGUCUGCAGUUAAAUUCAACUCCAUGUCAGGAUUGGGAAUCAAGUAUCUAAGAAGCAUGAUAAAUGCUGCAAUUGAAGGUAUACAUAAUGCAAAAGAAGGUUGUCCAGUAAAAUCCUUAGUGGCAAAUUAGUGCAGUGGACCUGAAUUUCUAAUGGUGGCUUACCUUACCAUAUGGAGACACCAGUUUUUGAAGAGCCGUGAUCUUGUCAGCCAACUUCUGGCUUCUCCUCACAGGCACCUGCAUAACAGUCAAUUGCAAAGGACAUUAUUGGUUUUAGGAUUUACACGCAAACAUUCCGCCUCCAAACACAUCCAUCGCGGUCAAGUAUCUAGUUGGUCAUUUUGAACCGGAAUGUGUGCAAUGAUUGAACUAAAUUUCUACUUUCUUGUCUUAACUUAUUAAUCCCAAUUUUUAAUGCUCUCUUGCUCCUGGUUGAUGGCUUUAGUGUUAACCUAAUAGACUGGUUCACACCAAUUAAUGCUGCAUUCUACUCUAAUUAAUUCCGGAUGCAUGCCUUAAGUACAGCAGAUGUGUCAAAAUUAAGGGCGGAAAUACAGAAAAGAAAAGAAAUCCAACCAAGGGAUCACUCCAAAUUUUUACAUGAUCCAGCAUAUAUAACAAAUUAUUUAUCAUAACCAAGCAGGUACACAUACUCUAUCUUUCAGAACUUCUUUAACUUCCUUGGGGACUUGAUGAUCUUGGAAACAAACUGCCAUCUUCUUAUUUGCCGUCCAUUCAGUAUGGAAGGGUGGUCUGUUGCCUGCUAUAGUUUCAGGGCUUUUUCUGCUCGUCAUAUCAGCAUUUUCAAUUGGACGCUUCCUUGCAAUUCUUAUUGUUCCCUGGAGUAAAAGGAUAAGGAAAAUUAAAUAGGAAAACAACAAAAAACUGUGAAUGGUGCAAGAAGCAAGAACUUCUGAAUAGUUUAACUCAGAUUUUAAUAUGUGAUGAAUAUGCUUUAUUAGUUACAUCAGCUCUGUCUCAUUGACAACCACCACAAUUCACUAGGUUUGACUUGAGAUUGCACGCAAUUACUGAUCAGCAUGGAGCAUUUGGCCCGAUCAACUGACGGAUUUCUAUACACAAUCAUCCUAUUUCAUAUGUUAAUCAACUUGGUCUAUGAGGGAGAAAAAACUAUUAAAUAUAAUGACCAAAUUUAAACUUGGAAUUAGUAGCUAUUGUGAAGACGAAUAUUAAGACACGCCUGCUUCAAUUAUUGUGUUUGGACAUCGUUCGGAAGAUUCGUUACAUGACUUCAGAUAUCAUUAAUCAAAUACUAAAGACAGGAUCAUAAAUCAUAUACAAUUUCAUUUGGUUGUCCAGGAAUCGCUUCAACAUGGGACAAUUGCUGCUGCUUAACAAUAUUGCUGUCGUAGGUAGGCAUGGUAGCCUUGGUACCGAAAUGAUUGGCUCCAAGAGGAGGGCAAUCAAGACUUUUGAUGGUCAUUAAUGGGGAUGGCCCUGAAAAUGAGAUUAAAGAUAAAUCAUUAGAGAGUGGUUAGGACUUGAGGACUACCUAACCAUGGUUGUCGCGAAAAAUAAUGCAUGACAAUUAUAGAACGGAUUAGAAAAACCUGAUCAUAGAAUUUGUCAGCGAGAACAAGAGAGAUUUAUUGAACCUGAUUGAUAGUUGAUAGUAGGGGACUGCGAGCAGAUAGUGAAUACUCCGUGCUGGUUAUGUGGAGUUGAAUCCGUGUAAAGGUUGCUGUCAUAUGUAUGUCUGUUGAGAAAGUAUGAAAUUACUAGUGGAAAAAUUUGUAUAUCGAGAGGUCAAGUUUCGAUUCAAUUAGACUAAAACUAGUAAAGGAACCAAUUACUUCUCGAACUGAACAAUCAAGAAUGGGAAAAGGUUAGUCGGAAGAGCAGUGACGUACAAUUUGCUGUCUAUUUGUAGAGGGAUAUCAGAAACGGACUCGUUGGAUCCUGAAAUUGUCAAAGGUAAGAAUACUGUCAAUUUUUCCCAUAUUUGAUGUCAUUUUAGUGGAUUUUACAUAAUGAGUUCUUGAAUUAUUACCGUAUCCAUUGAGCUGAGAAGAAGCUUGAGGGAAAAUUGUGUUCUUCAUCCUGGAAAACUGUAGAUUUUCUGAUACAUAUCUCACUGAGGCACAAGAGAUGGCUUCUGAGGCUUGUAUUUGUGCUCGACUUUCAGACAACAUUCCAGCAGUUUCAAUAACCUUCACAAGAGUUUCCACUUAUGUAAUACCUGCAGAGUGUUAAUCAAACAAUAAACCAAGCUGCGUUAACUUCACAAGAGAGAGAGACCAAGGUGUUAAAUGGAUGAACAGAUUUAGAAAACCAAUAGGCAGCAGUAUAACGACAAUCUUUGAUGAAGUACGAUUUCCAUGAUAAAAUUCAAAGGUCAUACAGGUCCACAGAACGAAAGAGUCCUAAUUAUCCUGCAACAAAUCUUGUCUUAACAUCAUGCUGAAAAUUCAAAAAAAAAAAAAAGGAAAUAAAAGUUAAAACAGAUUAUUAUCCUACCCAAGCACUCCUUGCACUAAAAUACCAUGAAAUCUCAAUAUCAAACUGACAUCUUCCUUUUGGGAACAAGUUAAUCCCGUCACUAGCAAGAAAGAGGAUAUAAUAUACUGGAUGCUCCAUCUACAAAGAUUACUUCUAUGACAACCAAUUACUGGCAAGAGAUUGACAGUAUAUGUAGUAUGUAUGUACCUUUGUCAUCGGUCACUACUCUAGACUGAAUGGCUGCCAAUAAAAUUUUUCUGAAUCAGCUCAUGAAGACUGUCUCGAUGGAUACAAUGCAGAACUGGAAACUAUUGAGGUUUAACAAGUCUGUACUUGGUACUUGCUUUUAAAGGAAUCCGAAGAUCACCCUUCAAAUAAAGUAAUGCAUGCAAGGAAAAAUACACGUCCAUUUAACAGUACAAAUCUAGAAAAUUUUAUUUUUAACACUUAACGGGCGGCUCUGAGUGCAGCAUAGAGUAUAGUUUUCUUUUAAAUUUUGUCUCGUCCUGAAUCUACUAUUUGUCUAUUUGACUUGUGGAGAUUAAGGAGAAGAAGCUGCAAUCGUCCAGAUAAACCUUGAGUAAGGAUAAGAUUAGUGACAAUAUAUAACAGAGGCAACACUUUGGUCGGUCAAAACAUCAGGUCUGCUGUACGUUUUGACUAGGAAAGGAGUUCUUGGCACCAACCGGGGCUUGCAUUUUGGUCUCAAAACAUACUUGUCUGAACAAGCUUCUACUGUAAUGACCGAUGAAAGUAUACCGAGAGUGGAUCUUGUGGUAUUUGAGGACUUUAAGCCGCCGUGUAAAGAUUGUUGUUUUAUACUAAUAAUAGUUUUCAUUGGCUCCUAAAAAAGGAACAAAAGAAAACAGCUUCUACUCUAAUGCUGCCCAGCUGUUACUUUACUAGGAGUGAACUAUUCAGUGAGUUCACAUCAUCUUGAGAAGCUUUUUGAUUCUUAGUAUUUUAUUAUUAUGGGUCUAAUCCAAUUAUUUGAUUAGAUGGACUUUCGUGGGCUUUUUUUUAAUUUCUUCCAUGAAUUUGAAAAUCAAGUUUGAUAAUAAGGUUAAAGUCAGAUGGUCUUAUCAUUGUAUGAUGUACCAUCAUCAUGGGGUUUGCUCCAAAAUUCGGCUCAAGAACUGUGGACACUUAGAAAUAAAAAAGUUAACUACCGUGUAAAAUUGAUCGUAGUUUGGCAUUGCAGUUAGAUUUAUGGGUUUCUUCCAUUGUAACUUUUGCAUUAUUUGGUGCAGAUAUUUGAACCACUUAUCAUCAUAACCUCGUGUCCCUUUAUCAUGAACAGGAGUUAUUCUUCGUUCUGAUUUCAGUUUGGUAUUGCCAACGAAUGACAGGAUUGGAGAAGGCCAAACACUCCAAAAUUUCAGUUUGGUAUUUUUAUUUUAUGGUGUUUUUAUGGAGGAGGUUUAUCAAAAUGCAUUCUAAGCACUCCAAUUUUGAUCAACAUUUCCUGUAUUGGAAUUCUCUAGGAUAGAAAGAGUGGAAUGUCAUAUGAUAUUCUUUUUGACAAAGAAGACCUUCAGAACAUUGCAGCUUGCGAUUCAUCUGCAUUUCAUUAAGCUGACCGUUUCAUUUUCAUUGAUUUAAUGACAUAACUUGGUUGUUAAUCAAAAAAAUAAAUAAAUAACAACGAAGUCAUGGGAACCAGUUGAUCACCAGUUCCUCAGAAUCAUGCAAGAGCCAGAAACUGACUCAAGAACCUACAAAAUGACUGUUAACUCUGAAAAUUACUAAAUGUUGGAUUCAACUAAUUAAAUACUGAAGUUAUUAUCCUUGCGCAUUUUCUACAAAUCUAUAAAAAGGUCUCCCCAAGAAAACUUGUGGUACGCAUUUAACCCCAGGAAUUUUGAGAUAGAAAUUUAACCUUAGAUGGGUAAACAAAAAGGGACAGGCAUGCAUGAAGAAAUAGUAUAUAGAUUUCACUUAAUUUUCUUUGUGCUCAUCGCACCUGGAUUUUGUGGCUUGUCUUCGAGUAGUGCCUGUUGACCUCUUCUGCAUUAAUUUCCGUAAUUAAGCCGAUUAAGUCAUUAAGCUAUAGUAGCACUAGCAAAUUUAUUGCCUAAUUUAAUACCGGUAGUAUAUGGCAUUAAAUUAAUUGCUUUCGGAUGCUUUCAAUUCAGAGUAUAGAGGCCUGUGCCCUCCUAUGGAAGCCAAAAUUCAAAAGUAGGCAGAAGCCUGUUUUGUAUUUAGGCAACAACUAGUUCUCAAGAACUAUGUGACGACAUGUGGAAGCAAGUGGUAAAUUAGAAUUAUUUUCUAACCAAUUAAUUAAUCAAUAUUACAGGCUCGAUCACCUUAAUUAACUUGGGAUCAUCAAAAAAAUAUAGCCGAUCAAGUAUACAUGCAAGGUAAUCGAAGAAGGAAGUUGAGUCAUUUAUGUCUUUCUGCCGAGCCACAAGGAACUAAAAACAACCACAAAAUUGCUGAUGCUGUUUACCCAACAACUGUGAAUGACCUUUGCAAGAAUAUAUUAUAUGCUUGACUUGGUGCUAGUAAACAAAUUUUCACUUUUUCUACAGCAGAUGAGGCUAUUAGACAAGACAUCAUGAAUCAAGAUAGUUUUUCAAUGCAACUAAAAUGUCAUCCAAGAACUAAUAUAUAUAUAUAUGUGUGUGUGUGUGUUUUACAGUCAAAGAGUUGUUGUAACUUGUACUUUAGGACUUGUACUACUCAUAUUUCGAUUUGCAUAUACAUAUAUAUAUAUAUAUAUAUAUAUAUAUAUAUGUCAUUACUUUCCCUUCUUAAUAUAGACUAUCAUAUUAACCAUUGUACAUCAGCAAUGAGUGUCAACUCUUCUGAAAGACCAGAUGUCUUAAAGGUCUACUCUUAAAUUAAAAGUGUAAUGGUUGUCAAAAUCUAAAUGUAAUCUUCUUCUUAUUAAGACUUGUAAGUAAUACUUAAUUGAUUAUUUUAACAAGAAUAAAGCGGUGGUCGUAUGCAUGCAAGCAGGCCAAUUUAUAGCUUUGGCUAUUAGAUACCUUUAAAUUUGUUAUGUCAUUUUCAAGAGUGAUUUAUUUUGCAUUUCAAUCUCUUUGCCCAGUAACAUCUCUAGAAUAGUAGUAGUUCGAGCAUAUUUUCAUGUUCAGAUUCUAUGCUAAAUCUGCCAACCAGAUUCCAACAAUCAAAUUGACUCUCUAUAUGAUACUCAAAUAGUUUGACAACUGUAAUUAUAUAUUUAGAAUUUAUAUAGCAAAAAAAUGAAUGAGAUAAAUCGCUUAGCUCUUGUUCGAAUCGAAAUUGACUUGAACAAAAGGGUAAAAUUUCUUUAGAGUAUAUGGUUUUGUUUAAUUGCCUGCCUUCCGUACUUUAAUCUGAAAAGAGGGAUGUCAAAGAGGGGAAGGGAGAACGAGGGAAGCAAGCGGUUGAGGUAUCGGCCUUGAGUUGCUGGUUCUUCAUUAAUCGGGGUUCGAUUCGUGCCUGCUGCGCUACACAUCCUGACUCGUCCGAAAAAGCUGUAUGGGGCUAUCAGCUUCCUUUCGGUUUGGUGUGCCGGCUCGGGUUCAAAGGGCUCGGGUCGGGGCAUGUUCCGGGUUACCAAAAAAAAAAAGCAAUGGGUGUGUUUGAAUAGAAAUUAUUUGUCAAAAAAUUAUCGGUUUCUGUCACAAAUAUAUUUUUCAAUGCACCUUUUUAUCUUUCUAACCAUCUUUUUCGUCCACAUACAUCACGUUGCAAAAAAUGCUACAGUAUUUAUUCUAAAUAAUAUUUUAUAUAAUCUCCUAUCCAAAAAAUGGCAACCUUGUUUUAAGACAAUAAUAAACCUUCUAGAAGCAUUUUACUUGAUAUAUUGACUAUUCGUGCUAAUUGUAGUUUACUAUUAUUUGAGAUUAGAUAUAUUGUUGUCUUCACCUGUCUUUAAAGCAACCUCUAGAGAUUCUCCAUAUACUCUCGAUCUCUUAAUUUUUUUUUUUCCGAAACGAUAAGUACUUGUAUUACUAGACAAGAAAUUUACAAGUGCGAGCAAAGGCUCGAUUGAACUUUACAAGCGGCGAUUUUACCACUAAGGAAACCAGAGUUCCUCAUCCAAAAUAAUGCCUAUGGCAUGAAUGCUAAGCUUGGAGCUUAGUUGAGUCUUAUCAUUUCUAACUAUGGCAAAAGGAGCACAUAUGAAACAAAUCUCUUAGUUGAAUAAUGUCAUCAACCACAGUAGCUAGUCGAAUGUCACUCACUCUGUUUGUGCGGAUAUAGUUGAGGAGUUGAGGACUUUGCACUUGGAAUAACACUUCCGUUAGUAGCUCUGCGGCAGCCUUACACAUUGCCAAUUUAAGUGCAAUUGCUUCAUCCACUAGGUUUGAUCCUGAACUUCUAGCCCGUAUCGCCCAACCUCGGUGGAAUCCUUGAUCACCUUGUCUCAUACUUAUUCCAAUGCCUAGGCCAUGAUUGGUCAUAUCUGAAGUUACUCCAAUCCUCAUUUCCACUGUCCCAUGUUCUGAGUCUAACUGCGGUAUUUGUUGAUGAAGAACUGAUGUUUCCUCUGUGCUCCAUCUCUUAAUUAAUUAUGUACUAAUUGUCUAGUCUAGUACACAGCUUGAUUCGCCGCUAUUUGAUCCGUCGAGUCAAGGCAAUAAUAACUAGGAGAGACAAGCAACCUCUUCGUUGUUGUAACUUUACACGGCAGGUCAUGAUAGAGUUUAUUGAGAAGUUGAAUUUCUUAUCGUGCUAUGUUUUUUUUUUUUUUUGAGCGAGUUAUCGAAUAUUUCUCAUGAAAAUUCGCUUUCACGUGAUUUAUCAUGAUGGAAUCAAUUUUUUUAUAAUAAAUAAUGAACUCUUUUUUCUUUUCUCUUUAUUUUUAUGAAUAAAUCGAAAAAACAUGAAGUAAAGAUACAAGAUAGAGUACCAGUAUUUGAAAAAGUUGAGAAUGCAAAAUAGAAAAUCAAAGCUAGCUAACAAAUCCGCUACACAAUUACACUUUUCUUUUCUAACACCAAAUGAAUAGGGACUGUUUACUUUUUCAUGACUAUCUAUUGUCAUUACACAUGGUUCUAUUAGUUGUUUCCGCAGAAAAUUUUUUGGGAGAAAUCUACGUAUAAACCAAUUUGGUUUUGAUUAGCAAAUUAAUGAAGAAAAUACUAAUCAACUCUCUCAUUAAAAAAAAAAAAAAGUGUUUCCAGUUGUAGUAUGAACACAGAGAAGAACGAUGAGCCACAAAAUGUAUAAUUAUAAAAAUAUCUAAUACAUAAUUAAAAACAAAAAUCUCGCCGUAGUAAUUUGUGGACUUUGGGUCAGAUGUAAAUCAGAAGCACAUGGGCUUCUGUUUAGACAGAAACAGGACAGAGAGAUGCGGGCCUAAAUAGAGCAGAAAAGAACAUUGAGAUUAGAAUUCAGAUUGGUUUAAUUUACAGUGGUUGGUCAUCUGCCGAAAAGAGUGGGGCUAUGUCUCCUGAUACAUAAGCCCAACAAAAAGUUGGCCCAGUGUAGCCGAAAAAGGAUAAGCUAGGGUUUUUGGGAGUUCUCACUAGCUUCUUAAACUACCUCCAAGAGCAGGAAACCUAGCUCUCUCAUUCUUGUCCGUCUUCGCUCCGGAGUCCUCACUAGCAACCCUCUGCCUAUCUCAGCCUUCUGGUAAGCUGUCAAUACCCCAAUCGGCGCUCAUUUUCAUUUCUUUGGACUUCCUUUCAUGAGUCUUUUCUCUUUGCGUUCUUUCUUUUUAUUUUUUUCCUUUUGUACACUAGUUUAUAUGUAUGUGCUUUUCGUUUCUGAAAUUAUGCUUAUAUAACUUACCAAAAAGAGAGAAUAAAUCAUGCUUAUAUAUGUCUAUUUAGUUUGUAUAGCAGCUGUUUGGGUGGAUCGAUGUCUUCUGUUUCAUUUUUAGUGAUUUUUUAUUAACUUGAUUUUUGUUUUUAAAAACUGGAUGCUGAAGAGAUUGUUUUUAGUUUUGAUGUUUAGAGUUUUUCCACGGCUCUUUCUCUCUCUUAUUUUUGAGAAUUUCAUGGGGAAAUGUUUAGUGAAAAUGUAAGAUGGAGGAGCGUAAGAUUUUUGGAAGCAUUUCUGAUUAGAGAAAACUGGGGAGCUUGUGGGACUGAGAUGAUUUGUGUGCUUUUAAUCAGAAAGAGGUUGGAUUUGUAAAUGAGAUUCAUUUUUCGUUUGUCUUAGAUGGUCUAUAUAAAAUGUUUUUGGAAAAAAGGAAACUCUGAAUGUUGGAUUGAUUUCAAAGUGGUAGUGGUUGUGUAGAUUAUUGCAGUUUAAUGUGUUGGAUGGUUUUGUGGGUUUUGAUUGGUUUAUCUUCAUACCCGAUUCCAUAUGUUGUUCGCAGUGACGAACUGAAGGCUUUCGUGAUUGUGUUCAAUUUACUAAGUUUAAUUGGAUUGAUUGGAUGACCCAGUAUAGUUUAAAUGAAGUUGUAGGAAAAUAGGCUAUCUUACUUAAUGUUCGUUUUGGGAAUGCGCCAGCUUUUUAGAUUUGCUGUGGCCUAUCUGGUUUGCCUCCGGUAUAAGUUGAUUGAGAAUAUGAGGCCUUAUUUCCUUGAGGAUUUUCUUUGGUGUUUGUCCCCGGGUUUAAUGUGACAGUUGCUCUAUGUUGGACUGACAAACUAUCGCUGCAAGUCAGUUUUUGAGUCUGAAAUUAUUCUCUUGAUUUAUUAUUCAUGAAUUAUGAUUCCUUUAUUGAGGCUUGAUCUACAUUUGCAGAACUACCAGCGAAGAUGGUGAGAGUUAGUGUCUUGAAUGAUGCUCUCAAGAGCAUGUACAAUGCUGAGAAGCGGGGAAAGCGUCAAGUCAUGAUUAGACCAUCCUCAAAAGUGAUUAUCAAGUUUCUCUUGGUGAUGCAGAAGCAUGGUAUGAAAUCUUUGUUUGGGUACCAUUUUUGUUUCUUUGACUUGGCUGAUCCUAAAGUUUCUCACAUACUGUUGGACAUGGCUGGCAGGAUACAUUGGCGAGUUUGAAUAUGUUGAUGAUCACAGGUCUGGGAAAAUUGUUGUUGAACUGAAUGGGAGGCUAAACAAAUGUGGCGUCAUUAGUCCUCGCUUUGACGUUGCUGUCAAGGAUAUUGAAGGAUGGACUGCCAGGUUGCUUCCCUCUAGACAGGUAAUAUCAAUAUGUUAACAACUUUGGUCAGAGCAUUUGGAAAGCAAACUACCUGGUUAAUGCUUACAAUUAUUAUCGUUAUUUUUGGGAAUUGAUGACUACUGUACGGACUGUUUGCAAUGCUGUUAAGAUGAUAAACAAGUAUACAAGUAUUUUUUUUUCACCUUAGGAAAACUGAAAUAUUCAUUCUUUUUAUGAUCAGUAUUAUACAACAUAUGCUUUGCUACGUCACAUUUUAUUACUUCCUGUUUAGUUCACGAGUUAAUUGCCAGUAGAAGUUAUCAAGUUUCUCCUCUGCUUACAAUAUAUAUCGGUUCUGAGCAUUUGUUUGUCUUGAACUCACAGUUUGGGUACAUUGUGCUGACUACUUCCGCUGGCAUCAUGGACCACGAAGAGGCUAGGAGGAAAAAUGUUGGUGGGAAAGUCCUUGGUUUCUUUUAUUAGUGUUAUUGGGUUUCUGGAACAAAGAUAUAAAUUGACAAUUUUGACGAGUUUUGUCUGUGACUUGAUUUACUUCUGGGUAGUUCUGUGUUUGCAAGAUCUUUAUUUCCUUACAAAUGUGAGUAGAGGUCGUUUACUUGCAUUUUUUGAAUGUAGUAUGAUUAUCGACUAUAAUGUUUAGCGGAAUAGUGGCGUUUCUUUCUUUCAUCAUGCCUAGACAUGCAUGUAUGUUGCAGGUAUCAAUUAAGCUGAAAAAUUUCCUUUGCACGUUUGAAUCAGGGUCCACUACAUAUAAAUGUAAUUUCACUUCUGCGUAUCAUAGAUCUGUUGAAACUUUAUAUGUAACCUAAGAAUGGGCGUGCUCGUGGGAUGUUUAUGAUAUGCUUGAUCAUAUAUUCCGAUACUAGGAAGUGCUAGCACAUUUGCAAUCCUAAGAGGCGGCAAUAUGUAGGACUUAUAUUUACUCAGUCCAAUUGUUGAAAUAUUUAUUCAUUUCAAUUGUUGAAAAAAUUACCAGUCCGGGGGUUUUGGCACGGUUGGGGAUGAUUAAGUUGGAUAUUGAUUGUAUGAAUCGAUUCAUAGACCCCAAGGGUGGUGAUGAGGUGCUUUCUAGUGUCGUCUACCGAAGAUUAUUUCAUAUUCUCAGCUAUCUAUAGGCGGAUCACCCUCGGCCGCACCAACUUAAAAGACAUAAUUACGUGAAUGAAAGCGAGUCAAGGGAUGAUUGUAAUAAGCAAGGUUUUGGUUUCCAUCUCAACAGCACAUUUCCUUUGUAGCUUCUUGUUUACAGGUCGCUGAAGCAGAGGCUUUAAUUUUAGGACUUUGGCAUACAGAGCCUAACAGACCUAGAUUCGGUACUUCAUGACGGACAUUUUUUUUUUUUUUUUGUCAGCAACGAUAUAUUUAUAUAACCUACUAUAUCCUAAUUUAGGGGUAUCCUAAUUUAGGGGAAGGGGAGCUUAAGAAGGCUGUUGUAAGAGUUAGUGGGUAUACAGAUUCAACUAGAUUAAAGGAAUAUUAUGGCACAACCUUUAAAUUUUUUUCGUUACUUGUGAGAUUUGAGCCUAAGAAGGGAUUUAAAUCCCUCCUAGUGGCCACUAAACCAUUGGCCUAGUGGUUUCAUGACGGACAUCUAUUAGGGCCGUUUUCUGCACUUCUGUUUAUAUAAGAUCCCAUAGUUUAGUGUGUGAACAUCCUGAAACUCAUAGUAUGAUACUAGCGUGCACGGAUCAAAUUGAUCUCAUCAUUUCCCAGCAACAGACGACAAAAUCUUUAGAACCAUAAUAUCUUAUAAUGCUAAAUUUGAGGCGAGUGGGAGCAUAUUUGUUAAACUUUAUUCCAUAAGCAAGCUAGUUAAGUAGUAUAAUCUUAAACAAUCCAGUCAAAACAGAGAAGAAAGCGACCAGGAUGCACAACCACCAAUAAUGAUUUCUAGUUUUUAUGCCGUCGAGAGGGGUUUAACAAGUAACAAUUACCAGCGGAAAAACAAAAACACCUAUUCUUCUUUUAGCCAGGUGAAAAAUUUAAGAAGAGAGAAACUGCCAAAGGUUUUAGUUGCCCUAAUGGUGAGUUUACCAUUACGACUUUUAAUCCAGAUGGUCGACUUCCUUAGCCAUCUUCAUCGAUGCAAAUGCUACCAUCACCAGCACUUCCGCGGCCACUGCUACCAUCUUCACCAGCUUUCUGAUCUUCAGAUCCCAUUAAAUCUAAAAGAAAAAAGGCACAGCUAGGGCUUAAGAGUAUGAGGAAAAUGCGGCAGCAUUAACAUCAAUGGGAUGGAAGCUCUCAAAAUGAGAAGAGGGAAGAAGCCUAGGUACGUGAAUGGCUUUUUGU